rnacentral:lncRNA from 1 species
CAUUCUCUAGGUGCUUUACACUAUAGUCAUUCAUGAUCUCCACCCUUAUUAUGUUUGUGGGUCAGCCCUUUUUUUAUUCAAAUAUAUCUUCUUCACGGCUACCAAUUCAACAAUCACACAAUUGGCUCGAUUAAAUCAGCUCAUUAAUUAUAGGUAUCAACACACGAUGACACCCAAAGAAAUCUUAUAAAGGAGGAUCGCUUUAAUAUAAUUCUUUUUAUAAUGGAGAAUUAUCCAGUAAAUUUUAGACACAAAGAUUAACUCAGUUUUCCAAUAACAUCUCAAUCGACCAAAAUUCUUAUUAGUCCCUUUUUCGAUUCGCCAUUAAGGUGAUAAUUAUGUCAUUUGAUAAUCGACCACUCUAAGAGCAAAUCCAAGGGUUAUAGCUGGGUUUUCGGUGUAAUUAAUUAGUAAAGAUCAUUUGUUCUUGAUAACUUGUUUUGCUUUGUUUAUUUAUUUUCGUCCCACAGCAAAGCAAUUCCGUAGCAUGUAGGAGUUAUGAUUUAAUUAAUGCUAAACGUUCGAUUAGAAUCGCAAAGGGUACUAUAUAUUUAAACACAAUGGAGGAGACGUGUAAUGGUAUGCUUCAACAAAUACAUGCUCGAAGUGGUGUCAAAACGUACGUAUAGAGUCAAAAUUUAGAUGCACAGUCGUGAUCAAGAGAAACUUAAUUACCAGGCUCUUAAUGGACAAUUACUACUUGUUGAAAGGUACUUGAUACUUGCUGUAUUGUCUAUUUGCCAUCGAUCUCUCAAAUUCGGCCGGGAAAUUAGAACUUGUGAUAUGGUAAUUGCGCUACUUUGAAUAAAGCAAAUCCAUGAUUACAUGCAAGCUACCUCUAUUUUUUUUUUUAGUUUAACGUGGGUGUCCGGGUCAGCUUGUGCACACCUCGACUAAUCCCACGAGUCCUGAAGUUAACGACCAUGUAAGCCUCCAGUAGCCAUCAUAUGAGCAACCACAAGGCUUGAACCUGAGUUAAACCUCUAAUUUUGAUAUAUAGAAGCAUUGCAAUUAAUAUUGAAUUAAUUUCCUUUUAGAUCGAUAUAAUUUUUUUCAUGGUCCAUUUACAUUGAAUAUAGAGGACCACUUUCUUUAAUUUCUAUAUGGGAUCUCUGCCCAUCCAUAGUCUUUAAUUUCUUUUAGAUCGUUAGAUUUUUUUUUAGUGUCACAUUAAUUCUUUUCCAUAGAAGCUAAAAAAAAGAAGACGAAACAGAAAAGAAAUGGUCCAUUGGUUGAAUUUUUUAUAAGCAUAUUAAUUAGUCCAUAAACAAAGCAUGGCUGAACAUUUGUUUUCUCUUUGACCAAUGAAAAAAAAUCUGACUUCUCUCCUGUCUUUGGAAGAACAAACUAGAAUAUUUAGUCACCAUUUGUUUUUUUUAUUAUUAUAAAGUAUUUUAGAUAUAUUUUAAAAGUAUAUUUUAUAUAUCGUAUUUUUUUUAUAAUUUUGAUAUAUUAAUAUAAAAAAAUUAUUUUAAUAUAUUUUAAAAUAAAAAUUAUUUUAAACAAUUAUUUUUACUAUAAUAUCAAACAAACUUAAUUUGUCAUGUGAAUCGAUCUAGGUUUGAAGAAAACAUUCAAAUCAUAAUAAUCAAUAUACCAAAAAUAUUUUUUUCUUUAUUAAUUUCUCUUUUUAACAACCAAAUCACUGAAAAAAAAAAGUACAUUCGGAGAUUUGAGACCCUUCACACGUGGUGGGAGCUAAGACUUUUUGCUUGCAACUUUAUUUUUGAGAUUCUAUCAAGUACAACACUAAAACUCAUAUAUGAACAAAUAACCUUUAAAGACUUGCCAUAAUCUUCAUUGACUUGGAAAUUUGCAAUAUUUUUCAUUGCUGAAUAAACGAUAUCCGUCAUUGAAAGGGCAAAUUUUACCUAAAAAUUAAGUUUCCUCUCGCAUGGUGAUGCUACUAUAUAUUAUAAUCCAUACGACCUGUAUAUAUAGAUUACAGCCAUAUAUUUAUAUAUACAACUUCGAGUAUAAAAAUAUAUAGAGAGCAAGAGAAGUGACAAAAGGGUGACGAUCAUGGUGAUGAAGGUGAAUGCAAAAUUAUGUGUGUGAGAGGUCACUUUGUCCCCAUCCACUUGGAAACCUAAUAAACUAUGCUCAAUUAUUUCCUUCUUUUUCCCCCUUUGGAACCAAACACGCUUAAAUGCGGCUUUAUGUAUAUAAUUAACCAUCAUUAAUUACUUAUUUAUUCAAACUUAACAACAUGAUUAAUAAUCUCUUUGGUGGCCUAACCCAUGCAUCAUAGAGGGCAAGCCUAGAGUCAAUGGCAAUUUUGUGCAUGCCACAUGGGCAAUAUUAGCAACAGCAGCUGACAUUUCUUUCCUUUUCAUUAAGCAUGCUUUAGUGUGUCUUCAUCUGUCAUUGUUGGUUGUGGUUUUUUUUUAAAAUAUAUAUAUUAUUUUAACGUCAAUAAAAUUAAAACUUGAAAUACAAUUACAUGCGUAUAAAAAAGCAGAUUUUUUUUAACUAAUUACACAGUUUUUUCUCUAUAAUUAAAAAAAUAGCAGAAAUUACUAUAGCACCAAAUAGUAUCUUAACAUCAACAUCACCAUAUAUAUAUAUAUAUAUAUAUAUAUAUAUAUAUAUAUAUAUAAGGGAUUGGGAAUUCAAGGAUUGGUUUUCAUAAUAAAGAAUCUCAUUAUCUUACUUUAAUAAAUUAUGGUUUGGGUUUAUUAAUUAGCCACCAAAUUAAAUAUAAUGUUAAAGAUUAUAUAGGGUUUUUUUCCCCCUUAAUGCAUGAUAGAAAAGGGCCUCCAAUUGACGUGCUCUUUAUUCUAAAGCCAUGGCCACAAUUUAGUAGAUGCUGAAUUAUAUAAUGGACAACCGGGCAUUUCUUCCUCUCUGAUGUUUGAUAUAAUGUCCUGGUCUUCCAGAAGCAGUUGACUCUCGUUUAGAAUAAGAUUAAAAUUAGUAGAAAAUCGUACUCAUUAAGAAAUAUAUAAGAGUCUUAAGCAUUAUUGGGCCAUGAGAUCACAAUAUAUUUUUUUAUUUUUUUAUUCUAAGAAUAGAUGAGGAUGGACCUCAAAUUAAGAUCUCUCUUUAAAAGGUCGUUUUUAUUAGCCUUGUUAUUGGAUAUUAGAGACUAAAUAAUUUUGUAAUAAAAUAUGUACCACUCAUAUUAAUUUGGGGAAUGGGUGGAAUUACUUGUACUUAAUUUUUUUGUAAGAAUAAAUAUUGCCAAACAGAAGAAAAAUAGAGAUGGAAGUAAAUGAUUCACUAAAAUGAUUUUUUAAAGAAUAUUCCAAUUUAGAUAGAUAUUGUUAAUGGUUGAAAAACAGAUUUUUGAUCCAAAGAUAUUAUUUGGUCUUAAGAGAGCCAAUAUAUAUAAAAUAAACUUGUCUGUGUGUCUUUCCACCUAGUGGGAAAAGACUUGAGCAAACAGUUGAAAACAACCUGCGCAGUAAUGGAUUCAUGAUAAUAUCAAAGACUAGAAUGGUAAUGUGAUGUCAGUGAGAAAAUUUCAACCAUAGACAAGUUAUCCUUUCAUAGAGACAGAGAGACACAAGUGUAAGAAAGGCAAGCUCUACGUAGCCAAUUCCAUGGAACAAUUAGCCAAGCCAUUUCAAUGUCAAAUGUGAAUCUCUGUUUUACAAUUUGCAACAACAAGAUUUUGUUAGUGUAUGUAACUGUAGCUAAUUACAUGUAAUAUUGAUUUUGUUUAUGUAAAUACAUUUAAUUUAUUAAUAAAGAUUUAUUUAUCUUUAAAACUCAUCAAAUAUUUAAUUAAAGAAUCUAAUAUUUGAUUAAUAAAUCUAGAGUAAAUAUAAGGUUCUUGAGGCAAAAGUACUUUACAAGGAAAAUUAUAAAGUUAUUAUAAUUAUGAGGUCUUUAUUGCAUCAAAACAUUGUUUCUAAAAUGUUCUUUGUCAAAACUUUAUUAAGACUGAAUAUUAAUUAGAGCUGUUGAAAUUAGUAAAUAUUAUGUUUUUUUUUUAUGAAAGGAAGCAAUUGUUUUUAGAAGUUGAGGUAUAAUAGAUACCUAGAACUAAUAUGUAAGUUUUUGUUAGAUGACAUGUAUACUGAACUGAGUCGCAUGAAAAUCCUAUAUGAAGAGAUUACUCGUAUCUAUGAAAAUACUUAUGUGACGGUUAUGUAAGUGAUCCUUAAACUUCAUACCACUAAGUUAUCUUAUAUAGAAAAUGUUAUGCUUUGAUCCUGCUAUACGUUGUCAUAAUGAAGGGUAAUAAACGAACAAAUAUUGAGUACAAUAUGAACUAUAUGAAUGUAUUUGAGUAAUCAAGAGAGGAUUCAUUACUCUAGGGUAAUUAGAAAAAAAAAUAUUUCAUUUGUUCUCAAAUAGUAUUGAUUGUAAAUCCUUGUGCAAAAUGGAAUAAGAUUUGAAAAGAGUUUCAAAUCUUAUUCAAAUAAUCAAUGACUAUGGUGUUGAGAACAAAUAUAAUUUGACAUAGUAGACACUUCAUGCUAUAAUGUUUAAAUCAGAACAUUGUAAAUGAAUAAAACUAGUCAUUUAAAGGUUGAGACAAACCACUUAUGGCUUUUCUAAUGUUUGAAAGAUCAUGACAUGUUGCUAAACAUUGUACUUGAUCUUAAAAUAUAAAUCAAUCAAUUAUUGAAAUGAUAAUAAAUUAAUUUCUUUAAUUUAUAUAAUUUUUUUUUAUUUAGGAUUAUGAUUUAUAUUUGUGCCAACUUAUUAGGGAACCUAAUGGGUCAUACACAUAAGAACCAUUGAUCAAAAAGUAAAUAUGAGAUGAUUAAUCAAGUGUGACUUAAUUGUAAAUAAAUCUUAGAAAUUAAGGACUAGAAUAUAAUUAAUACAGGGGAUAUAUAGACUUAGAAACAAUCAAGUAAGGAUUUGAUUGAAUAAAUUUCUAAAAUUAUCCUAAAAUAAUAUAUGUUAUAUUAUUUAAACGGUAAAUUGAUAUUUUUCUAUUUAUAAAAUUUUUAGAUUUUUUAUAAAUAAAAAAUUAUGUCUCUUAUUUUCUAUGAGUAGAGUACAAUAUAAAAACACCUAAAACAUAAAAAAAAAGAAUAAACACUAAAAAUUAUAGCAAACUCUCUUUUUUAAAAAAAAUUUUUAAGAGAUUUCUCAUUAUUCCUAAAAAAAAUUAUAAAUUUACUAUUUUUAUUAUAUAUGUGUGUGUGUUCCGAGAAAACUAACACAUUUCAAUAUUUCUUUAACGCGAACACGAGAGCCAAUUCUUGACCCGGUUGGAAUAAUGAUUAACGAGGAAAUAACUCUGAUGUGAUCAUUACCAAUUUAACUUGAACAAGUUGACAUUGGAUGAGAUGAUUUCGAAUAGAUUUAGAAUAUAUAGGUGACUUGCCCGCGCGCUACCACGGGAUUUCGCAACCAAUAUGUUUCGACGAUUCUAUAAUUUUAUAGCAACCAAAAACGAGGUGAGGUUUUUAGAUGAUGCAAUAAUGUCGAGGCUGCAAAGGAGCCAAAGUAACACUAAGAGCCAUUUGAAGUUCACUCAAUAACAUAAUAGCAAAAGGAAGAACUUGCAUCAAUGUUAUAUCUGCAUCGUUCAAUUCAUCCAUAACAAAAAAAACAUCACAUUAAUUUAAAAGAGAAGGAUAUAUAAGCGAAUCGCAAUAAAGGCAAACUUGACAUUGGCCGAGUAGGUGGGCGAUGCUAGACAAGUCUUGAAAAAAAAACAACCGUUGCAGGCGCUGUGUUAACAAAAUGUGCUGCUGUGUCUACAAAGCAAGCUGGCCUGCAAGUGAAGAUGAAUGUGUUUGGGGAAGAAGCAACCAGAAAGAAAAUGUAGUAAUGUGAUGGAAUAUAGCAAGGGAACAAUAGGCAUAAACAACAUUUUAUUAAAAAAGAAGUGUGUUUUUUGUUUUGUGAUAGUUGUAGCUGGACUGGAGUGGCACCAAAUGAUCAACGCACAAAUCAAAAACCCAUGUCAAAAAAGUCUGAACCUAUACAUGUAAAUGACUGGGCAGUGAAUGAGCUGACAAACUUAGGAUGAAACUGGAGCAGAAGUUCAUCAUGAACAACUAGAUAAAAGCAGUAGCAAGAUGAUGCAAAUAUUCAUUCUGAGAGAAACAAUGCAUUCAAGAAUUUGGGACAAAAAGCUAUGUGACAGAGGUAGGCAAGAACGAUGGGAAAGGAAUCAAAUAAGAGCUGGCCAGACACAAAAUCAAGAUUAGAAAUUAGCAGGCACUAGGAGGGUAGAACAACGCAAACUCAAUCCAAUAUCGAAGUUUAUAAGAAAGCAAGGUGCCAAUAGCAAACAGUACGUAGUCUGGUAGUUUUUCUGUAGGUUUCUAACAACCGAGUUUUCUAAUCAGAACUCAAUCACUUUAUAGUUCAACCAGCAGAAAAUGGCAAACAACAUAUAUUAAACACAUAAGUUGCUCGCAAUCUAAUCUAGCAUUGUAGACAAAAGUACAUAUCGGAAAAAAAGAGCAUAUUUUUGUUAUGAUAAGUGGACUAAUAGUAUACUUGUGUAAAAGUAGAGAGUUGCUCAAAACCUUUGAAGAGUUGUGGCCUCCUCGAAAAGUAGCCUCCUCCUUGUUUGUAAGGGGAAAAAAGUGUCAAGACAUGACUGGAUUGUUAAAGGAUGUGUCUGCAGCGAACCAAUGGUAACAACACAAGGUGGGGCGAUCUUCGCAACAAUUGUAGGUUUCAAUCAAGGACUUGUUCCAGAGCUUGAAGGAGCUGCUGGAUCGAUGGCUGAAACUGCUUCGCCUUGCAAUUCUUAUUGGCCAGGUAGAGCAUCGACAUCUUCAGCUAAGUUUUCAUCAAAAACCUUGGUGAUGAUGAUGUUGCAACAGUUGACUAUGGAUCGAAAAGUCCCAAACCGAAGCUGGAAAAUUUUGAUCUUGUUGAAUUGUUCAAGCAUCAUAGGUGGAAAGGUGCCUUGGUCUGUGAAUUAUUUAUCUUACAUGCAGUGGUGGGUUGCAGAAGAAAUGUGUAGUAGUCUUGCCAACCAUGACGAUGGUACUGGCCUCAUCAUUCUCAUUGAUGAUUAUGCAUGUUGAAAGAAGGAUAGUUGUGGUAUAAGAUUAAAAUAGUAAUGCAAAAUAAAAACACUUAAGAAUAAAAAGAAGAUUGAGAUCAAGCUAUAUUUUUAUUAAGUGUUUCUUUUUAAACUUUCUUAGUUAUUCUUUUUUUUUUGUGCUGCUGAAUAAUAUUGAAUUACAAGUCUUUUUAUAUAUAUAAAGUUCUAAACAAUCAAGGAAUUAAACUAAUAUAAGAAAUCUUAAUCCAAACAAGAAUUGUAUUCUAUCGACUGAACUGAUUGAUUUUUUCUCAACCAGUCGACCACUUUAUUUAAUCCAACCAGUGGAUUGGUUCCUCUGAUCUUUAGAAAAACCAAAAAUCAAGUUUAAUUUUCAACACUCUCUCUUAAACUUGAUUUCUUCAUAACUCCCAACAUAUCUCUCAUUUGUUUUAUGAAAACAUCAUUUUUUUUUAUAGCUUUGUGAAGAUGUCAGCGACUUGGUAUUGUGUCUUCAUAUACUUGACUUUAAUUUUCUUAUUUGCUAUGCAAUCUCUUAGGUAAUGAAAUCUUGUGUCAAUGUGCUUACUUUUGUCAUGAAAAACUGGAUUUUUAGCUAAGAUAAUGGUAGAUGAGUUAAAAAUUUCAGUAGGCUUCUCUUGUGGCAUUCAUAAUUCUUUCAAUAAUCUUUUUAGUCAUAUGGAAUAAUAAACACAUGAUGUAGUAGUUAUAUAUUCAGCUUCAUAUGUUGACAUAAUGACUACUAAUUGCUUUUUCGAACUCUAUGUCGAACUCUAUGUUAAUGUUUUGUCUCCCAUAUAGAAAACAAAACCCAUGGUACUCUUUCUAUCAUCCAUAUCUCCAGCCCAAUUACUAUCACUAUAACCCACAAGAUGAAAGCUAUUAGAAUAUCCAUAAAAUAAGCCAAAAUCAACAUUACCUUUGAUAUACCAAAAAAUUUGCUUCAAAGCUUUGAAGUGUGUCAUAGUUGGUGUCUCCAUAAACCUACUCACAUGUCUUACUCUAAAAAUAAUAUCCAGACUAGUGCAUAUCAAAUAUCUCAAACUCCUAACUAAACUUUUGAAUGUUGUAGAGUCUAUAUUCUCUCCUUCAUCAUUCGUUGACAUCUUUACUCCACACUCACACUCAACCAGAGUAUUUACUUUUACAUAAUUCUUCAUCUUGAAUUUCUUGAGAACCUCCCUUACAAACUUCUCUUGAUUCACAAAGAUUUCAUCUUCUCCUUAUUUGAUCUCAAUCCCUAAGAAGUAUGUCAUAAGACCAAUGUCUGUCAUCUCAAACUCCUUGAUCAUUACUUACUUGAAGUCUCUAAAUAUUUUUGGAUUAUUUUUUGUAAAGAUCAAGUCAUCCACAUACAAACAUACAAUAAUAGUAUCACUACUCUCUUUUAUCUUUACAUAGAUAGCAUAUUUGUCACACCCGGACAUCGCAGCGACCGAUUAAAAAUUUCUUGACAAAAAAAGAACAGAUAUCUGACAUAUUCUUGUUCUUUUAGGGGAAAGUAUUAUGGUCACUAGGAACUCUAACUGAUCAACAAAGAUUCUAUGGUACGAGACUGGUUACGCGAAAAGAAAGAUACUAUUACCCCUUAAAUGUCCUACCUAAGGCAAGCUACAUUGCUGGUUUUGUCUUAAAUUGCUAAGAGUUGUCUUUGUUUCAUUUUUAAGAUCAUCCUAUAAUAUUCUUGACUCUAGCGUCAGUGAAUAUUCACCUAUGAAUAUUUACAACUCUGGCGUUGGUAAAUAUUAUGCAAUCCAUAAAGUACAGGGUCGGGUUUAUGAAAAAAUAAAGAUAGUUAAGAACCUAACUGACCCGACGGGUUGACUCGGCAAUACUCGGUCAAAAACCCGAUUGCAACCCGUUGACUAUCUUUUUUUAUUUUUUUCAAAACGAUGUCGUUUUGAUUUAUAAAAAAAAUUGAGGUUAACCCGGGUGACCCGGUCAAAACCCAGGGCCCAGGUUUAAAAACACUGCUUAUAAUUUUAGAAGGAGAGGGAAAUGAAGAACAUACCUGGAGAUGAAGCCGAUGGUAACUGAGACGAAGACGUGGGCUAUUGGUCGUCAACACUCCUUUCUUCACUUCAGCUUCUCUCUGUCCAUUGUAUCUCAGCCUCCUAUGCCCCUGGUUUGCGUUUCUGUCCUCUGUUAGCGUUUCCAGGUCUUCGACGGUUUCCUCUAUUCUGCGAUGUUAUUGUUUAUGUUCUCUAGUUCUGUUUGUGUGUAUAUGCUCUCUGUGUGUCCUCCUGUGGCUUCCUUCCCCCUGUAUGUGGGUCUGUUUAUUCUCCCUUGUUCGUCCUGUUUUUCUGUCAAAAGCCCCUCGUCUGUGUGUGCCUUCUGGUUUUCUAUCCUGUGUUUGUUCCUUCAUCCUCCUGUUCGCGUCCAUCCUGUCUCUAUUGAGAAGAGAAGGUUGUUGCUGCUAUGGCGGGUGCAUGCUCACGGUGCACAGUGCUGGUUGCUGGAGCUGGAGGAGGCGCGCAGCGCUGGAAGGAGGAGCUGAAGCUGGUACUACUGUCAAGUGGUGUUUGUCGCAGUGGCGAAGAAAGGGUGGCUGGUGCAAGGCUGAUCACGGUGAGGGGAGAAGUUGGUUGCCUCUACUGUGUUUGCUGGGAGAGUAAAUUGAUUUGCAUCCCCUCUCAAGAGGUCCCGUCCUCUUCCUUCUUCAAAGAGUAAGGGUGAUGACUUCUAAGAUUUGGUUGGCCAUGGGGAAGAAAUCUUGUAUUCUUUGCAGGUAGCGGCUGAGAAGAAAGAGGGGUGGUUCUUGUAAUGGUGCUGCUGGGAUGAAUAUCAACCGGGGCUGCUGGGGGAGGCUGAGAGGAACUGAGGGUCGUUUCUAAGUUUUUUUUUUUUUUUUCUCUGGGUUUUCUUGUAAUGUCCCGCCCUUUGUGUGCAUGCACUGGGAUCCAUAUUUAUAAUGUAAAAGUCUCAUUGCCUGUGAAAAAUAAAAUCUCAAAGAAACUUAUUUUCUUCUUUGAAAUUUGAAUUUGAUUAAGAAUCAAAUUCGAAAGCAGAUAAAUAUCAUUAUCUUGAUGAUAAUGAUAGAAUGAUAAAAGCACAUUAUAAUCCCUAGUUUCUGCGUAAGUUGACAAAUCACACUUUUUAUCGAAAUAAAUCCUUGAUCUUUUAAUUUUACAUUUUAACCCUGCAAAAUUAAAUUAAAAACCAAUAAAUCAAAAUUGGGUUAUAACAAUAUUCAUGAGGGAAUUUAACAAAUUUAUUCUUUAAUAAAUAUUCAUCAAUACGACUAUACCAAGCCCUUGGGGCUUUUUUCAAUCCAAAUAUUCAUCAAUACGACUAUACCAAGCCCUUGGGGCUUUUUUCAAUCCAUACAAGACUUUGUUCAACUUUAUUACCUUGUCUUCAUGUCCCUUCACUUCAUAUCUCAUAGGUUGCUCAAUGUAGACCUUCUCUUCAAGAAAACCAUUAAGAAAGGUUGAUUUAACAUCCAUUUGAUAGAUUAUCCAUCUAUGUUGGGUAGCGGUGACAAUGAUUAAUUGAAUGGUCUCCAAUCUAGCAACUAGAGCAAAUACUUCAUCAUAGUCAAUCUCAUGCUUUUGACUAUAGCCUUAUGCCACUAACCUUGCUUUGUACCUCUCCACCUCUCCUAUAACGUUCUUGUUUUCUUUAUAGAUCCAUUUGACAUCCAUUGGUUUCUUUCCACUUAGUCUAGGAACCAAUUUUUAUGUCAUUCUUCUUAAUUGAUGCAAUUUCCUCAUCCAUAGUAAUUCUCUAUUUUUUAUCCUUUAUUACUUCCUCAAAUACUAUAAGAUCACAUGUAGCAAGGUGACAAUAUAGUGUUACAUAAUCAUCAAUAGGAUUAGUUACCUCAUAUAAGUCAUUAAGGCUCCUCAUAUUUCUUGGUGGACUUUGUGAAGUGCCGCUACUUGAGUUUCCACUAGAAGAAGAAUGAGAAGGAGAAGUUGAGCUCAUCAAUGUUUGUGAAGGUGUAGCUAUAGAUUCUUAAUGAUCUUCAUAUCUUUCCUCCUUUUUAUCAAGAAUCGGUAGGAAGUUAUAUUUCUUACCAUCAUCUACGUUCCAAUCCUAUGUUUCUUCUUCAUUGAACUAAACAUCUCUAUUAAUCAUUAUAUUUCCUUUAUUAGGGUUGUAAAGCUUAUAUUCUUUGGACUUUUGAUCAUAGCCCACAAAAAUCAUCUUUUUGCUCUUGUCAUCUAGCUUAGUCCUUACUUAAUCAUCUACAUGCACAUAGUCAAUGCUCCCAAAAACUUUCAAGUGGGAAACACUUGGCUUUCUUCCACUCCAUGCUUCUUGUAAAGUCAUGUCAUUCAAGUGUGUUUGGUAUUGUAGUAGCUUUUGUGGUUGUGGUAGCUUUUGUGGUUGUAGUUUGAAAAAAGUUGUUUUAUAAAAAAGUUGUUUUAGUUAAGGUUGGUUUGAUAUUUAUAUAUGUUUGGUUAAAAUUGUGGUUGAAUUUGAGGUUGAACAAAAAGUAGUUUAAUGUAUUUGGUUAAAAAAUUUCUUUUCAAAUUGAGGUUAUAUAUAUAUAUAUAUGUAUAUAUAUAUAUAUAUAUAUAUAUAUAUAUAUAUAUAUAUAUUAUUGAUGGUUUUUAAUUUAAAUAUUGUAGAUUUAACUAUUGUUAUUAUAUCAUGAAAUAAAUAAUACUUUAUAUAAAAUAUUUUUUAUUGUUCAAUUAAACUAUCUACAAUUCCAUCACGUAUGAAAUAUAUCCGAUAAGGACUAUAAUUUUCUUGGUUUCUUAAGCGCGCAACAACAUUAGGUAAAACAUAAUCAGGAACAAAAUUGGGAUUGCGAUCAAAUUCUGCAAAUGGUACGUCAUUAAAAAAACACAAUUAAAAAUAAAAAAAUUUAAUUUAAGUGUUUUUUACUGGGUCGGACCUGGUUCAAUGCAUCAUGAACAAAAAACAAAUUUCACGUGAACAGUGAAGCUCUCCACACUGAAAGCUGCAUUAUGCUGCUUUCAGUGAGCCGGUGUUUUUAACGCAGAAAUUAUUGAGGCCCAUGCACAAUGAAUUAAGUUUUCAGCCGUUACCAAACACUUGUUUUCCGUGGUUGGCUUCAAACGCAGAAGCAACCACGAAAACAAACGGUCUCUUAGUAGGACACCAAUUUGACAAAUAGAUAUAACACAAUCUACAACUUUGGUCUAAAACUUUUUAGGAAUCCUUUUGGUUUUGAGCAUGCUUGAGGAUGCUUCUAUUGUUUCUCUCCACCACACUAUUUUGUUGUGGGGAUCUAGGCACCGUUAAGAGUCUCUUUAUACCAUGACCUUCACAAAACUCAUUAAAAUCAUUAAAACAAAAUUCACCCCCUAUCCAUCCUAAGUGAUUUUAUAGAAUAAUCACUUUCCUUUUUAACUAAUGCCUUAAACUUCUUAAAAAAACUAAACACUUUAGACUUUUCUUUUAAGAUUUUUACCAAAUGAACAUGGUUUGAUAGAACCACAAACAUCGAUAUGUAUUUAUUGUAAGGGUUGACUUGCUCUUGAUGUAGACUUUAUUAGAAAGCUCUUGUGAAAUUGCUUGCCCACUAAACAUCCUUCACAUAACUAAUUUGGAUGUAUAAUGGAUGGUAAACCCUUUAAGAUCUCCUUUUAUUCCAUCAUCUUCAAGCUAUCAAAGUUUACAUGCCUAAGUCUCAUAUGUCAAAGUCAAGUCUCAUCCUUCACACACUCAUUUAGGCAUUUAGACACAUCCGUCUCUAUGUUUAGUAAGAACAUUUUAUUAUUUGUCAUGGCUACCUUUGUAUUCAUAACUCCUUUAAUGUCAAGUAAUAUCAAAGCAUGAUCUUUCAUCUUAGCUAUUUUUUACACUUUGUGUCUCCAUAGAACUGUUAAGCUCAAAACAAAUUAAGUUAUUCUAAACAUAAAACAUGUAUAAAAUACUAAGAAUAAAGUACAUAAAAGAUACAUACAUACAUAUAUAUAUAUAUACAUACAUACAUAUAUAUAUACAUACAUAACAAUGCUCUUCAUUUUCCUUUUAGGCUAGUGUUUUAGACUUUUUCUUUACAGCAAUUGUUCCUCUCUCCAACACUCAACAUGUUAUCUCAUUAAAGAUCACGAACACCAAUUAUAUUUAUUAGUGAAUGCAGAUGAAGUCGUAUUUGCUUGGACAAGGUGUUUUCCAAUUUAUUGAUGGUUCUUUGAUGUGUCCCUCUUCUCACUUGACUACUACCAAUAGCUCUUUUCUUCGAGUUAAUCCCUCUUUUCUUCAUUGGAAACAACAUGACCACCUUAUUUUGAGUGCACUCCUUUGUAAGGUUUGAAACAAGCUCCUCGAGCAUAGUAUACUUGACUGAGUGAUUAUCUUUUAUCUAUUGGAUUUCAUGCUUUAAAGGUUGAUACCUCUUUAUUCAUCUUAUCUAUGGGUAUUGAUAUAUUUUAUCUCCUUAUUUACGUCGAUGAUAUUUUGCUACAAUUCAAUCUUGCUCCACUAUUUAAUCCAGUUGCUUAGCUCAAAAUUCAAGCAAUAAAAUUUAGGAGUUGCCUAUUAUUUUUUAGGGAUUGAGGUUCACCCUACUAGUAUGAGUAUCAUGUUACGGCAAGAUAAGUAUAUUCUUGACAUAAUUCACCAAGCAGGUAUGUUUUCCUGCAAACUAGUCGACACUCCUAUUUUUGCCUUCAAACUUGAUAUGGUGUCCGAUUACAUGUUUUCUGAUCCUACAUGGUUUCGUCAAAUUAUUGAUGCUUUUUAAUAUAUAACAUUUAUGAGACCAGAUAUUUUUUUUUAUUUUUGUGAACAAAGUAUGUUAGUUGAUGCAUGUUCCUACAGAUGCGUAUUAGACUGCCGUUAAACGCAUUAUGCGUUAUCUGAAAGGUACAUUUUCUUUUGGCUUACAAAUCACCUGCAGUUCUUCAUUUACUUUACAUGAUUUACAAAUAUUGUUUGGGCUGGUAAUGUUGGUGAUUAUAAGUCAACAAGUGGUUAUUUUGUCUAUUUUAGUUAUACAUCAAUUUCUUGAAAAUCAAGCAAACAACAUACAAUUGCUUGAUCUUCGACUGAGGUUGAGUAUAAGGUUUUAGCUUACGGGGCUUCUGAGGUCCUAUGGCUUCAAUACUUAUUGACAGAUAUGCAAAUUACUCCUACUUCUUUGCAUAUGUUUAAGUGUGAUAAUUUAAUUGCCACUUUUUUGUCCGCCAAUCAUAAUUUUCAUGCUCGUAUUAAACAUGUGGAGGUUGACUACCAUUUUGUACACGAUGAGGUUGCAAAGAAAGAUAUUCAAAUUCACUUCAUUUCCUCUAGGGAUCAAUUUAUAGAUAUUCUUACCAAGCUAUUUUCCAUCGCUUCUUUUAAUCAUUUUCGAUUCAAGCUUCGAGUUGAACCCCCACCCUUAGCUUAAAGGGGUGUAUUAUAGAAAGUGUUAUUUUAUAGGGUAUGUAUUACAGUAAUUCUAUUUAUCAUGUGUAUAUGAUAAUUGUGUGUUGUAAACUCUAUAUUAACUAUUGUACACUCCCCUAUAUGUAUAAAUAAAAAAGAUUGACUAAGUAAUUAGUUAAGCCCCUAUUCUUCUUAGCUCUCAUAGUCAAACAGUUGAAUAAUAGAUACUUGUUUCUGCAGUAACCCGAAUAUGGGUGUUGUUCCUUCUGAGCUAAGAUUGAUGAAAUAAUGGAGAACCAUAUCAUGUGAUCGCAUGUUAUCAUUGAGUAAAUACGAGUCACACUUGGAAAUCUCAAGUUCUAUGGAAAUUUAACCAAAUCAUUGUCAAUUGCAAUACGAAUUAAUUAAUCUUCACCAUUUGAAUUUUAUUUAUUUUUCAGCUUACUUUGCUCAGAAAGAACGUAUUGUACGUAGUGGUGAUGAUAAACCUACUGCACAUGGUCGAACGCAGCGCGUAGGCGUCAAAAUUAAGCUUCAUGUCUUUACCGGACUGGGAAAAGAGAAGAAAAAGGCAUGAAGUAGCAGAAGCUGAGAAAACCAAUCUAGAGACACUGAAACUGAACUAAAGAAGAAAUAUUAGCCCAGUUAAAAUACUCCAAACAUUGUGUGAUUUACACAUAAGCUUAUUGGUAUUGUGUGCUUAAUAUACGUACUGAGGACUUAUGCAAGAAAUCUAUAGUCUAUACAAACAUAUACACGCCUAGUUGCCCUUUUGUGCCUUCUAAUGCACAAAGAUGAAUCACAUAAUAUAUCUUCAUGCAGUCACUAAAUAUUACUGUGAUUGGAGAUGAUAUCUACUAUUCACUUUUGCGAUAGAGUAACGGUAAGCACGAAGUAACCUCCUCUGAAAUCUUCCAAGAUUGAGCCUCACAUUUUGGUUAUCAAGAUAGAUCGACUUUGUGUAUUGCCAUCCCUUGUCAGACACGCUUCUGGGAUCUCGAAGAACAGGAUCAUUCUUAUCGUAUUUGUCAUACAAUGAACUCUCUCUUGGAAGAAUUUGGUAGCCAAUAUACUUUAAACCAAGCUUCCUUGCAGGCUCACCAUAAUAAGCAUCGGCUGCCCAUUCUGUUCCUAGAGGAAUAACUUGGAUAAAAACAGAGCCAGGCUUCAUAAACAGAAAAUGAGUCAUGGCAGCACCAUGGACACCAAUCAUAACUUCACUUGAAUUAAGUGCGCGAUAUAUCCUGGCCAGUUCUGUCGUUGGUUCAGGCCUCAUCACUUCAACUCGAAAUCCGAUUUCUUCAGCCAUCUUCACCAAUAAAUUCUCAUUAGUUAUAGCUCUAGAUCCAUUUCGAGAUAAAAUUACCAGUUUAGGUUUCUUCAAGGUGGCUUCAUGCACUUGCUUUAGGUUUUUUUUUGAUGAAUGAGCUUUCAGUUCAAGUUUUUUUUGAGCUCCUCGUUCUUCUCCUUUAAUCAUACUUUUAAUUCGAGGCCAGUAAGCUCGGUCUAGAAAAUUGCGAAAAUCAACAAUGCUUUUAUUCUCCUGCAUCAGUGAAGGAUCCACUGUGAGCUCAUCAUGGAUUCUAAGACCAGCAAUAGCUUCAGGAAAGCAAUGGGUUUUCUUGUCUCCACUAAAAUCAAUGGCAGGAUAAUCCGAAAGAAGUGAAAGAAUGUUUCCAUACUUCAUGAUCCACCAAUUAUGAUAAUCGAGAAUAACAAACACAACCUUCUUCUUGAAAUGCUGUGAUGUAAUGUACAAAGGCAAAAUCCCAUCAUUGAAUUCAUGAUAAACAUUACCGGUGUAGCCUCCAGUCGAAAAGAACACUGCCGGUACAUCAUGCAUGACAUCGCAAUGAUGGUUAAUUCUAGAAUUCUCUGUCUUUGCAAUAAGGCCUAAUUCAUCAAUUGAGUCCAUCACACUCGUUUCCCAUUUUCGAGUGUAUGGUUUGAUCUUUUCAUGAUGGAGUUCCUCAUCUUUAUCAACUAAACUCGAAACCUUGUUCAUCACAGAAUUGUUAUUUCUUGAGGUGAAGAGGAAGAUCGAAGAAGAGGCAGAAUGUGUUCUUACAUCCCCUUUCAUAACACAGACAUCAGAACGCAUACUGCUUCGGUCACAACAUAUGGUUCCUGAAUUUACCACAAAAAAAUGUGUAAAACAUUUGGGGAAACUAACAGUAAAACAUCAAUUCAUAUUACUAUACGAGCCUCCCAUUUGAGCAAACUUCACAAAAUAAAAACAAGGUAAGAAAGAGACUUUAACCCAGUAACUUUGUGUCUACUUUUUUUGUUACAGAAACUAGAUCAUUCACUCACGUUGAUUGAGUAACCACUUAAAACUCCAAAAGAAGAAAAAAGAAAAAAUCAGUUCCAUCAUUAAUUCUCCCUAACUUUCUUGGUUACGUAAUUACGUAGCCCAAGGAAAUUCUAAAUAUCAGAAAGCAAUAAACGUCAAGGCUGUUAAUUAAUACCUAGUACUGUUUGAUUCAAUAAAACUUUUUAAAAAAGAAAUAGAGGAAGAAAGGCAAAAAGAAUAGAACACCACACAAAAAAAAAAAAAAAAGAGAGUACUAACCAUUAGAAAUCGAAGAGCACAAAUAAGCUUUUGCAUUUACAUUAGUAGCAACCCCAUCACUUUCUACAUCAAAAGAAUCUGCAAAAACCAGACAAACAUGAUCAGCAAAUGCAAAGAAGAAGAAAAGAAAAAAAAGGAAGCAGAGAAAAAAUAGCCAAAACCCAUGAGAGAGAGGAGCUUACACGAAAGAGAGGAAGUAGAGGAAGAGCAAAACAAGGGAGGAGAUAAAAUAAGACAGCAAGAGAGAAGAGAAAGAAUGACAAGAGAGAAAAGCUUGGGCCUUGUCCUAUUGAAAUAACCCGAGCUUGCUGCACACAUCAAAGAUGACAACAGCACCUCCUCUUCUUCAACAUGUUGACGAUCACCUUUUUUUAACUGAUCAUGAUAUCUAUAGGAGUGCACCAUUGCCAACUAUUCUCAAAUGUAAAGCUUCUAUCUUUUUUGGAUUUAUAAAAAACUCAACGACUAAAACAAGAGAAAGAAAGAAUUUUUUUGAGUGAACAAAGUUUCUGAGCAAACCCCAGUACUUUAUUUACUUCUUUUGUUUUUUUCCAAAGGUUCUUCCUUUUCUGGGUUGUAAAAGUGUUGAACUAAAACCCAGUUUUGAACGGAGAAAAGAGAGCAGUUCAUGUAUUUGUAAAGAGAGAGAGAGAAAACAGAAGUUAGUUUCUACGUUGUCGUAAUGGUUAUGCUGUGGAGGUGUUUCUGGGGGUGUUUACGUUGCUAAAUUUGAAAGACAGAGAGAGAGGUUUUUGUCUAGUUAUGCUAAAGGAUGUUUCUAGGGACGUGUUAUUUGCGUUUAUAUUAAUUGGCAUACCAGGGAAUAGAGAGAAUGAUUGCGUGUGUGUGUGUGUGUGUGUGUGAGAGAGAGAGAGAGAGAGAGAAUUGGCAUACCAAGGAUAAGGAAUGAUAGUGUGUGUGUGUGAGAGAGAGGGAGAGAGGAAAUAGAGAGAAUGAAGGAGGAAGCGAAGGAGGAGCCAAUGAGGAACGAAGGUGUCUAAAAAGGAGGCUAUAAUAUUGAACUUUUGAAAAAAUUGAAGAACUGCAUAUGGUAUUUUGUUUUCGGCAGUCAAAUUCCGUGUGAAGAGCAAAUCAAAGAGCCGUCCUUUCUCUUUUCAGUAGUGAUUCAUCGACAAAAUGUCAUCAUACAACAUUUAUGGUGUGAUUGUGAACCCCAAAUUUGAUGAAGUUUUGUCAUCCAAGUGUGUGGUUGGUUUGUCCUCCUAGAUAUAAAUGUCGUUGUUAAUGCACCGAGUUUUUUAAUUAAAAAUAUGUUAGAUUAUUUUUACUUUUUUUAUUUUUAUUAUAGUACAUAAAAACUAUUGAUAAACAUAUAAAAAUUAUUAAUUUAAUAUUUUUGUAAGUAACAAUUAAUUUGAAAGGCAAGUUGAAGCAAAAAAAAAAACAUCAAAGACACAAAAUAUGUAUUUUAUAUCAGAGAUUAUUAGUUUAGAAAUGUAAAUAUUAAAAUCACAACAGUGAUUAACCCAAAAGAAACAUAUAUUUAAUACAUGAGGAACAAAAAAUGAAUUUAAUUGAUCCCUUCAACAACAAAUCAACCACUACCAGAAAAUUAACAAAUACAAAUAGAAAUAUCAAUGGAAUUUUUUCAUCUAUAAAUUACGGUGAAUUUUUCUGGCUGAAUAUGCCCUUACAGUAUUCAUCGAUAAACACCAAUAGAAAUAUUCUCUCGGUAUAUACUAAAGGAAUUACAGUGAGAAAAGAAUAAAUGAAAAAAAACCAAAAAAUACGAUAACGUGUCAUUUUUAUACACAAAAUUACUGAUAGAUUUAUUUCAAUAUGUCGGUAAAUUCGUCUGUAAUAUUUAAUUUAUGAUCUGACGAGCAACCCUCCUCUAUUAGUAAUGAAGAUUAGAUCACAUAUAUAUAGAUGGUACAUGUGCUCUCUCUUAUUCGUCCCAUAGUCCUGACAAAGACCUGCCUUUUCAUCCUCCUUCAGCAUCUCUAUUCUAGAUUAAUUGUAUUUAAACUUAUAAAUGUUUAUAAAUAUUUUAUUUUUAUAUUAAUUUAAUUUAAUUAUUUUUUAUUUUUGUUUAAUAGAUUUAAAAAAAUUAAAUUAUUACUGGCAAGGUUACCGGCAAACUAAGUUUAAUUAUCGGUAUAUUUCAGAAAGUUGAAAAUUAAUUACUAUAAAUGUUACUAUCAUUAUUUACUCACCGAUAGAAUUAUAAAUGGUCUGUUUGAUCGUUAUAUGUCAAAUUCACCGAGAAGAAUAUUGGCAGACAAAAAAUAUUACCGAUGGAAUUAUAUACAGUUUUUUUGUCGGUGAUAUGUUAUAUUCAUCAAUAGAAAUAUCAAUGGAUAAAGCGGGUAAAAAUUUUUUUGCACGCUUUUGCCGUCAGUAAAUCCAUCAGUAAAAUUAUUACCGAUGAACUCACCGAUAGACCACAAAUCACUUACAAGAGUUUCUCCGGCGGAGUAUUGUCAUCCCAUCCGUGAGCCCAUCAGAAAAAUUUGUGCCCAUGAUAUUUCGUCAGUAAAUCUAAAAAAUUUGAUAGUCAACAAUAUCACUCUUAGCAUUUUUAUUAACUUUUUUUUGUUAAUUAAUCAUAAAAAAAAAAUGGACAGUUAGGUUGACACUGAUAUGUUUUUUGAUGUUACACUUCAAUUUAUAUUAAUAUCUUACGUGAGAUUAUUCCAUUAAUUAUAGAUCAUCAGAUUUAUGGAAGAAAAAAAAAAAAAAAAAGGUUGUUGUCAAGAAGUAUGUUGUCAGCCAACCCUUUUCCCUUGUUUCUCUGGUUGGCUUUGCCUAUCUCUAUUAAGUGGAAUUGGAUUCCAAUAUUUAGUUGGUAUUUGGAAUAUUACGAGCGGUUGUUUUUAUUUUCAUUUAGAAUACAUAAAAGAUGAUAUAUUUUAUAUAUUUUAAAAAAUAUAAAAAAAACUUUUUUCUUUUAAAAAUUCAAUUUUAAUAUCAAAAAUCCAAAACAUAAAAAACUUUCAUAAAAAACUUUCAAACAAAAAUGAAGUUCAAAAUUUUUGAAAACUCCAAUCACUUUCUCAAACACUUUUUUUGUUAUUUAUUUUUACAGUAAAAAUGUUAUUUUUAAAAAAAAGUUAAAUUUUUUUAUUUAAAAUUAAAUUUUUUAUUAUUAUUUUAAUGUUCUUGAUUUUUUUAGAGGCUAGUUGGGAAACUGAUCCCUGAAAUCUUAACAAUUUCUUAAGAUGGUCCAGAAAGCAUGUCGACAGAAAAAGUGGACAGGUGUCUAGUACAUGUCAGAUCAAGAAUUAAUAGUAAAUUAAUCAUCUAGGUGGUGGCCCAGUGAUAAGAGCUUGGGAUCAAGAGGUUUGCUCCCUCUGUGGUCUCAGGUUCGAGCCCUGUGGUUGCUCAUAUGAUGGCCACUGGAGGUUUACAUGGUCGUUAACUUCAGGACCCGUGGGAUUAGUUGAGGUGCGCGCAAGCUGGCCCGGACACCCACGUUAAACUAAAAAAAGAAUUAAUAGUAAAUUGAAUGAAAAAUGAACAUUAUUAAACGAAAAUCAUUAGCAAAGUAAAUUAAUUAAACGAAGAUCAGGCCCCUUUUUUAUUUUUCAACUCAAAUAAAUAAAGACACAGAAAACUUGCUACUUUAAAACGUUAGUUCAAUCAAACAUAACGCACUACCUUUGCCUAAUCCUUAAAAACUAAUAUAGCUAAUCAAGCCCCGUCAAGAAAAUUUCAACGGACAAGAUUAUAUUUCUUAGGCCUAAAUCCACCCCUAGAACAUGAUCUGAUUUCAUUUAUUAACAACUUUCAUUUUUAUUCAUGUUUAGUUUAAUUUUUUUAAGUUUUUGCGUUUAGUUAAAAAUGAAAUAAAAAUCUAUAAUUAAAAAAUCAACACUACCAGAAAUUACAGACGGCAUAUUCAGAAUUAAAAAAAAAAAGCGGUUCGCUAACGUGGAAGUUUUGGCGGACGAUUUUACCGAUGGAACACCGAGGGAUUCAAACCGGGAUCUCCGUACAGUGACGUGACCAAUUCACCAUCAGAAUUGCAGCGCUAGAUAAGUAAUAGAAACUAAAGGUAUGAUGGAGCCAAUAUUUCAUGACGGAAAAAAAAAGUUGUGUUGGUGAUCAAAAACUUAGAGACUGAAUAAAAUGAUUUGUAGCAAUCCACACUGUUUUGUGAGGAAAAAUAUAGUGCUUUCGCCACAUGAUUUAGCUUUUCUGUUAAUAAAAAGGAAAAAAAAUACAAAACUAAAUUCUCUACCAACUUAAUAUAAAAAAAAUCGACAAAAAUAAUUUUGGAAGGAAAAAAACCCGUAAGGAAAAACAUUAUAGCAAUUGACAAUGUUUUGUGAGGAAAACUACAGUGUUUUCCCCAAUACAAUCGACAAAGAUAAUUUUAGAAAUAAUCAUAAAAAAACCAUUUAGAGAAAUACUGUAGCAAUCUACAGUGUUUUGUGAGGAAAACAACAACGCUUUCCCCAUAUAAUUUAGUUUUAUUGUAAUUAUAAUUUUUAACCAACUCGAUAUUCAAAAAAAAUUGACAAAGAUAAUUUUGGAAAAAAAUCAUAAAAAAAUCAUGUGGGAAAACACUGCAGCAAUUCACAGUGUUUUAAAGAAAAAAAUUACAAAGCGAAAUUCUCAAUCAGCUCAAUAUUAAAAAAAAAUCGACAGAGAUAAUUUUUGAAAAAAAACACAAAAAAAACAAGGACAAAAAAACCAUGCUAGAAACACUGUAGCAAUUCACAGUGCUUUGUGAUGAAACCUACAGUGCUUCCCCACAUGAUUUAGCCUUAUUUGUAAUGACUUAUAAUUGUAAUUCUCAACCAGUUCAAUAUUAAAAAAAUAAAAUUGACAUAGACAAUUUUGAAAAAAUCAUAAGAAAAAAAAAACUAUAUGGAGAGACACUAUAGCAAUCCACAAUGUUUUGUGAGUAAAGCUAUAGUGCUUUCCCCACAUGAUUAAGUUUUAUUACAAAGUUAAAUUCUAACCAGCUCAAUAUUAAAAAAAUAACAUCGAUAAAUAUAAUUUUGAAAAAAAAUAUUACAAAAAAAGAAAACACAAAAGAAACUGGAAAAAAACUAUGUGAGGAAAAACUAUAUCAAUUUAUAGUGUUUUGUGAGGAAAGUUAAAAUGUUUUCCUCACAUGAUUUAACCUUACUUGUAUUUACUUGUAAUUGUAAUUCUUAACCAGCUUAAUAUUAAAAAAAUAAAAUUAACAAAGAUAAUUUUAGAAAAAAAACAUAAAAAAACAAAAAAAAAACUUUAUGGGAAAAAAUAUUGUAUCAAUCCAUAGUAAUUUGCGAUGCAAUGUACAGUGUUUCCCUCACAUAUUGUAACUGUAAUUUUUAACUAGUUCAAUAUUAAAAAAUCAAAUCGUAAAAGAUAAUUUUGGAGAAAAUCAUAAAAAAAAAUAAUUGCGAGGAAAGGUAUAGUGCUUCCCUCACAUAUUGUAACCAUAGUUUUGAAACCCAACCCGGUCAUUGACCCGGUCUAGUGAUCGGGUCACGCGUCAGAUGGGUUGACAAAAAAAAAAACAGCGAGAAAGUAGAAUGGAAUAAAAGUAACGGAUUUGAAACGCCAUCUUCAAAUUCAAUAAAUGGAAGAACAAAUGACAUCAACAUCUGUGUCGUUGAUUACUUAUAAAUUUCAUGGAAAAUCCUCACUUUAUGGCCAAGAAUCCUUUCAAAAUUUUACAUUUUGGUGACCUUUUCACCUUAUCUUAAAGAAAAGAGAAACAGAAGAGGAUUGGUUUGUGGGUCUAACAUGUCCAUCGACACCGAUUCGCCUCGUUCUCUGCUGAUAUGUAGGGCUAAACGUGUAGAGGCAGAGCUGUAAAUCAAAAUUGAAAGAGAGGUAAGUAGCUUUGUAUUCCUCAAGCUUCAUUUCCGUUGUUUGAAUCCACAUGCAGAAUGUUAAAACAUUUCCACACAAACAACACUAUUUUCUCGAAAACCUUUCUUUAUUAUCAUCUCUUAGACAUAUCUCAUCAGGCAAAAGCAAUGGAAAUGCAAAUCAACACUCAUUUACAGUUUCUUACCUCGUUAACAAUAGCUCAUCUAACCUUAUUCUUGGAUUUGAAACAGCGAUCAAGAAUUCAAGGGUCUUCUGCUCCUCUGCUCUUCUUCGCGACUGAAAUGGGUUUGAAGAUUUCUUGAAUUAGGUUUGAAAUCAAUUGGGUCUUCUACACUGUGUUCGUUCCUCUGCUCUUCUUGUUUUGGAAUUUGGCAUUUUAAUUGUAAAAGUUGAAAACGACAUCAUUUCGGUCAUGAAUAUAUAUAUAUAUAUAUAUAUAUAUAUAUAUAUAUAUAUAUAUAUAUAUAUAUAAACCCAGGUCUCAACCGGGUUUGCCCGGGUCGGCCGGGUCCCGGGUCGACCCGCCGGGUCGACCGGGUCUCACCGGGCCAAUUCCCAGCCUGUUUUUUGCUUAGACCUGGCCCGGGUCGACCCGCCGGGCCGGGUUUCAAAACUAUGAUUGUAAUUGUAAUUUUUAACCAGUUCAAUAUUAAAAAAUAAAAUAAAAAAAGAUAAUUUUGGAGAAAAUCAUAAAAAAAAAACAUGUAGAGAAACACCGUAGCAAUCCAUAGUAUUUUAAAAGAAAAAAAAUUAUAAAUCAAAAUUUUUAACUAGCUUAAUAUUAAAAAAGUAAAAUUGACAAAGAUAAUUUUGGAAAAAAAAAGGGAAAAAAAUAUAAAGAACAAAAAAUAUAAAGUGAGAAAAACGAAAAAGUGAGAAAAAAAAAAUGAAAAAAGGGAAAAAAAUAAAAAAGUGCAAAAAAAAGAUGAAAAAAUAUAAAAAAGUAAAAAAUUGCACUAUAAAUUAUUGUUGUAAUCCUUAGAUGUGCGUGAACAAUAAAUUCUUCACGCCUUUUAACUUAUUACUUAAUUUGUGAAAAAAACUUAGACCUAUCUAGCAGAAUCAUGCUGUCUGCUUGUUUGGAGCUUCAAGGCUUUUGUAUUAAAUGUCAAUAGAAAAAAGUGUUGACCUAUUGGUUGUCAUUUCAAAACUAUUUUCACAUAAGAAUUUGUGUAAUGAAUUUUUAAGCUCUUGAAUAUUCUGUAAAAUAAAAACAUUUUAAUGAAAUAUAUUAUUAUAUUUAUUAUUAUUAUUAUUAUUAUUAUUAUAACCACAGCUAUAUUAAACGGAUCCUAGUUCAAAAGAUGGAGCUUUUAAAUUUUGAAGUUUUAACAUUUGAAUAUGUACACAAGCACUUCAAGUUAUAAACAUUGAAAAUCAUGCCGUCCAACCAAUUCUUUAAUUAAUCUCAUACUCUUGGUCCAAGUUUUUUAAAAAAUAUUAAUUUAAUUUGAUUGCAUGAAACCUAGCUCAAAAAUAUCAUUUAAAUUAUAAGAAAAGAAUUUACAAUAACUUUAAGACAGCGGCUAAUUGUUAAUAACUUUUGGGUCACUUGACUAUUUCGCAAUCUUUCUGCGGGGUUUCGAAGAUUUGAAGCUUGGGGAAUGCUAGACCCACGGCUGCGUCAAGAGCGUGACCAGAACGGUCCAAAACCUGUGUCCAGAAUGGCGAUUCCCUUGUAUGACUUUUACCCAUUAAUCCGAGCUCGAGUAUGCCGUGUCUGGGUUUCGAAACAGAACGGAAAAGUCAACAGCUUCAAUUGCCGGUUUGUUGCUCAUCAGGAAGGUUAUGGCUAUACUUAUUAUUAAACCUAUUAAUGUAUUAUUCAAUUAUGCUUUACCAUGUAAACUUAAUCUUGCGAUUUCAUAUUACUCAUUAAAUCAUUUCAUCCAUCCACACAUGUUGAUAACUGUUGCACAUGGCCAUGCGGUGUAGGGUACAAGAAAUCAUCAUGUAGUUAUUUGGUUUAAGAUCAUUAAAAAAAACUCGAGUGUAUUAAUUUUAUAAUAGAUUCUAAGAGUAAGGGGUUAAUUGUAGCUAAGAAAAGUACUGUCACUCAUAAUGCACCUUAUGGCUUAGGGUGGUCAAUUUAUGUGUGUGGUCUGAAAAUAAUUUAGAGGUUUUGAUAGAUUUUUAACCGGUGGUCAAUUUAUGGCUUAGGGUGAAGAUUAAUUCGCGUGAAUAAAUCUGGCUUUUCAAACUCAUUAUGGGUUGUGUGCUCAAAUGAAUUUCUAUGAAAAUGAUUCAUGUAGAUACCCUGACAUGAUUUAUCUAUCCUAGAAAACAAAAGAGUUUUUCACAACUCUUGUGUUUUGGUAAAAAAUACUUGCAAUUAAAAAUUGAUGAAUAUUUAAAAUAAUUCUAAUAAUUUUUUGAUCAAAUUCUGAUAUUUAGAUACCAGCGAUUAUGGCUUUACCUGUUAUUAAACCUAUUAAUGUAUUAUUCAGUUAUGCUUUACUAUGUAAACUUGAUCCUGCCAUUUCAUAUUACUCAUCAUAUCAUUUCAUCCAUCCACACAUUUUGAUCACCAAAUCCUUUUCCUUUCUCUUUUUUUCAUAUAUUAAUUGCUAUUUCUUUUAUUAACUGCCAACUACUGUUCCUGCAAGAUUGACACUAGCAAUUCCUUUUCCCUAUUUAACGAGCAAGAGUGAAUCAAGGAUAGUCUAAAAAAGUACAUAAUGGCACGUGCCAAUCAUACUCCCAACAUUUCCACACAUCAAAAUAUUUCUUUCAAAUCUUCAAUCUAUUAACAUUACACAGUUUGUGAUCAUUUGCUGCAUUUAUACAUUCCAUUCAUUUGAAACAUUUAAUGCAUUUAUUAUUUGAGUGUUCAUUGGAACUCCAUAUACAGCCUUAGGUUGAUAUUCGUUGGAACUCCAUUAGCACAUGUUGUUGAAUGCUCAACACUCCACCACUACAUCAAUUUCUAUUGCUGUUUAUAUAUGGUUGAAAAAACACUUUUGAUCCCCUUCUUCAUAUAUUUUUUUGUUUUAAAUUUUUUAAAUGACAACAUCAACACCAACUCGAUGAAAAAAGUAAAUCAAUGAUUUUGAAAUCAAUGCGUUGAAAAUAAAUUUUUGAAUUUUUAAUUUUUUUAAAAAGACGUUGAAAAUGCCAAAAACGACACAAAUAUGUCAAAAAUAUAUUUUCUUGGAUUUUUUAAUUGUUUUUUUUGCUAUAUUAUGGAUUUUUCAAAAAAAAUAAAAAAUCAAGUAAUGACAUAACUUAAAACUCACGUCAUAAUUUAUAUCUCUAGAAUUUUAUUUUAAAAAAAAAGCACAGGAUUUUAAUUUUUAUGACUGAUUUGUUUUCAUUUAAUCCUUCAAUAUUUUACCAUUUCUUGCACAUGCCAGAUUAUUUUUUCUUCUUUUAUUUUUUUUCUCUUCAUUUGACAUCUUUUUUAAGGAUGCAACUACACUUCAUAUAUAUGAUUUUUUUUCCUUAGAUAUUUUUUUUAUACGAACUGCGGUGAAGCACAUGUGAUGUAGCGAGUCCAAAUACAUUUAUUUUUUUUUUUUUUUUUCAAUUCAAGUCAAAAACAGUAAAACUCGCUUACAUCCACGCCACACCUCAAAUGAAAUAUAAAACGCAAAGAACGUAUAGCCUGUUUUAGCUAAAACCUUCACCAAGAAGGAAAAGGAACGUAACAAGACCCAAAGGCUACAACCCACAUGUCAAUGAAUAGACGUUUCCCCUGCUUUUUUUUAUUUUAGAAUGUUCUAAAAAUGAAAAUAUAAAAUUAAAUUCAAUGGAUCUUGGAUAACAUACUCUUCUUUCUUCCAUGCGUAUGGUAUCAUAUUAAGAUUACUCUUUAGAUUUUUUAUAAUUAUGAGGAGGCUGUAUUUAUUUAUGGUGAGAUGGCUGCCAGCUGCGUCAAUUUUUUUAUUCGUGGAAGACAAACCGGUGGCCAAGUACGUAACACUCUCUAUAAUGCCAACCAUAUAUCUAAAACACGAAUUUUCUUUGGGAAUAUAAUUUUGAUGAUCCCGAAUUAAGUUCUUACAGAACACAUCUCUCAAAGUGAUGUGAUUUAUUAAAUUAAUCAGUGGUUAUAUCAUCAUCAUCAUCAUUUAACAUGUUUCUUGUCUCUGGUUGAAUUAUGCCAUACCCUUUCCCUGAUGCUAACCAAUCCAUUUAGUUUCGUGUGGAUAUAUACCAUAAGCCCUUCGAUAUUCUUAAUCAUACUUAAUUCGUCUUAGGACAUAAGAUUUUUUUAUUUAUUUUUUAUUUUUUAUUUUUCAGUUAACGGGUUUCUAGACGUUGGACUAUACCACCAUACCUAAAAUCCAUCAACCUUUUUCAAGAUCUGAACAUGAGAUUCUUAAAUAUGAAAUCCCGAUGCCUAGAUUAAUUAUCCAAUUGGAAACAAGGCUUAAUAGGUGGAGAGAUUUUAUAAAGGUGUCCGGUCUCCUCCUUUUUUCUAACUUUUCGCUCUAUUCCAUGACAUGAAAUGAUAAAAGCUCAUGGGAAAACCUUAAAAAUAAGUUUUCUUGAUUAGUUAGUUGCCACAUUCUAAUUCUUUAAUUUAUCUUAAUUGGGUUUUAAGAGAUUCAGAAAAUUUCUUAGUUGAGCCCUCUUGUACAGAGUAAACGUUUAUCCUGGCAAAUUAAUGAUCGAUUAUGAUAUAUAUCAGCUAGCUAAUUUGGAUGGCAUCACUCAUAGAGGGAUAUGUUCCGUAAGAAUUCAACUUUUUUUUUUUUUGUUAACGUGGGUGUCCGGGUCAGCUUGCGUGUACCUCGACUAAUUCCACGGGUUCUAAAGUUAACGACCAUGUAAGCCUCUAGUGGUCAUUAUAUUAACAACCAUAGGGCUCGAACCUGAAACCACAGGGGAAGCAAACCUUCUAAUCCCAAGCUAUUAUCAUUAGGCCACAUACUAGACGGUUAUAAGAAUUCAUCUCGAUAAUUAGGAAAUAUACUUCGUUGUUUGAUUUUUUGGCUCUAAACUUUGAGAAUAAUACAUAAAGAAAUUAUUAAGUUUUUAUGGGUGCAUGCACCAAAUGAUUCGAAGGGUGCAUCCUUGCCAUCAUUCGGGAAAAAAAAUAAUCUUGGUUCAAAACUAUUUGCUAUUGAAAUUAAAAAAAAAGGGGGGGGGGGGGGGCAAAAUCCUAAUCUGCAUAAUUCAAUACUGUGAUUGGUUAGUUAACUUGUGUCCUAAUAUAUAGCACAUGUUAAAAGAACCUUCCCCAUAAAAGAAAGUAUUAGGGGAACUGAUAAGCUAAGCUAAGGCCUACGUACGAGUCAACGAAUUGAGUAGAUGUACGUUUGUUUUGGUUAUUUUGUUUAUUUAAAAAAAUAAAAAAUAAAUAUCUUCAGAGCCCAUUGAAAUCAUUUUCUUGUAUAUUCCAUGUGUAUGGUACUAUUCAUUAUCGUUUUCUCGAGUAAUAGUUUAAUUUGAAGGUACAACAUGAUGCUGUUUAAUUUAUCGGUCAACCACCUAAAACAUCAGUUCUCUUCCGGGGAAAGUGAUUUUUUAUGUAAUUUUAUAUUGAAUUUUCACCGAACAUAUCUUUAUGUCAUUUAAAUUAGCUGUUAUAUAUAUAUAUAUAUAUAAUGGGUUGAUUAAGAAAAAUAUAAAUAAGAAAAAUCAGAACAUCAAUCAACUAAAACAUAUUUUUUUUCCUUUAAUUACUUUAUUUUUCAUGUGAAUAAUAUUUGAGGAAAUGAAGAUAAACCAAUAUUUGGACAAGCUCGUACGUAGUAAACAAACAUGGAUGGUAAUUAAUACUUGCUCAGAGUUUUUUUUUUCUUUUUGUUUAUCAAAGAUAAUUUAUAUUUUUUCAUCUUGUUUCCUGCAAUUUUUAACAUGUUAUUCCAGAUUAGCUUAAUUACUUCUUUUGCAUACAUGUGUUCGUUUUUUUUUUUGAAAUUAAAAAAAAAGAAGAGGCAGACUGGACAUAAGAGUUAUAGUAGAUGAGAAUCCACUGGAUAAAUGCAAGUAAAAAAAAAAAAAAAUUCUUGGGAUCCAAUAAAAAGGGUAAGCUACAAAAGGCAAGCAAAUUAGGCGAUACUCAAGGCUUUGAGACCUAUAUUGGAGGCCACGUAUCGCAGUUUGCAAGCGGUGAUUUGCAUGGUUACUCUACACUUUCUAGAUAAUCUCUACACUUUUUCUUGGGAUAUUUCCAAACUUUAUUACAAGAAUCAAGGUAUAGUGUUCAUUAAUUUUAAUAUUAUUUUUUAUUCAAUUCUUUUGAAUAAUAGAUCAUAUUGAACUUUCAUUCUUAUUCAAUAUCACCAUAAAUACGAUAAUCAAUGUAAAAGUUUAUGUCAAACUAUGCUUAAGAGGGUGUGAAGUCAAAUUUUAAAAUCCCAAGCACGCCUUGAAUUAAUAAGAUCAGGGAGAUGGGUUUAAUUUUAACAUACGAAUUGGCAUAACCAUAAUUCCACUAAACUAAACUAUUAUUUAAUCUCUGUGUUCUUAGCAAACUAAUCAAUUAUUAAUUUAAAAAACUAAUAUUCAAUCCUUGUAUUUUAUAUGUAUUUGUAACUUAAUCCUUUUAGUUUUUUAUGGCAAUUCAAUUGCUGUUUUUCCUAUAUUUUUCUUCAGGUCAAGAUUUUCAAUUUCAACCACUAUAAACAAAAUGAAAAAUAUAUUAAAGAAAAUUAGACAUUUAAAAAGAAUUAACAAUCAAACUCUAACCAAGGGACUAACUAACUAUAGUUUUUUAAAAACACAAGGACUAGCCUACAAAAUCAUAUAAAAAAAAGCACAAGGACUAAAUCAUAAUUUACUCAAUUCCAUUCUCCUGUAGCACUGUUCAUUUUCUUUUCUUUAGAACGAAGAUUGUAAAUUUCUAUAGCUCAUGCCAACUCACAUCCGCCAUGUGAGAAGACCCAAUAGCAAUCCUAAGACUACCUUUCCCUUCUCUUGCAAAUUUGUUCAAUCAAUAAAAGAUAUCCCCACACCUCCAAGCUUUGGAGUGCUUGGUAGUGGAUUUCUUGUAUGUUUAGUAAAUUGGUUGAAAUUAAUUUUUUUAAAAGGAUUCUUCAUAUUAAAAGCAUUAAAUUGAUAUUAUUUUAGAUGAAUUUUAAUUAUUUUAAUAUUCUUAUAUCAAAAUCAUCUUAAAACACCUUGAUAAUUAUCAAUUUGAUAUUUUUCAAAAACUACAAAAAUCCUUUGCUUGUCUCAUGGAAUUGCCAUGACUUGCUACUUGCUUUGCCCUUGUCCUGUCAACCGUUCACAAUGCCUCUCUACAAUUCCAACCACAACCUUAAAAUCCUUGGAAGUCCAAGUAUUAGUUAUUGUCAGAAUUGGUCGAAUUGGGAAUCAUCUUCAUGACUUGUCACAUAGCCUCAAGUUGGCAAUAGAUGUGAUCCAUCUUGAUUUUGAAAGGCAUUAUACUUAUCUGUGUAGUACUUUUUCUUUGUUAUUUAUGGAUGUAUUAAUAAUAUAUUACUUUGUAUAUUUUUUAAUAAUUGCAGACGACUUAUUUUAAAAUUAAUUAGAAUGUGCUUACUAAGGUUACCCUUUUCGUUAAAACUAUAUAUAUUACAUGUAGAAAUCAUCAACUGAGCUUUCGGAUUUUUCGUGUUUUUUACAAUAAUUUUAAGGCAGCAUAUACGAGAAUUCCUUGAGAAAAUAGUUCAUAAAGGAAAAAGAAAAAGAAUCUAGUCAUUUUUUGGACUGGACAGAUAUAAUAAAGUAAGAAGAUACUUUAGGCACCGUAUAAAAUUAUCCAUUCAAAAUUUUCUUCACAUGGACCACCUUGAGAUGACAAUUUCGUGAAAGAGAAGGAGAGAAAAAUGUACAUGGCAUUUUGUGACAUGAAUUUGUAUGUGCGUGUAGUAAGGAGUACUCCUGAUCCUUUGAUGACAAAUAAGAUUCUAUAUAUAUAUAUAUAUAUAUAUAUAUAUAUAUAUAUGUCAAUCACUAGGGGACCAAGGCAGGUCAAAUUCAUUUGAUUUUUUUAGCUAAAAAAGAAUGUAUAUAUUUUCCUACUUCUCUUAUAAUUAGCUAAAAAUAACCCCUUGAUAUAUAACCAUGGAUUGCCGAACAUUGCCUCCGAUGUUUUUGCUUAAAUGGGAAGAACUGGACAACUUAGUUUGGUGCUUCUUUCGGUGGGCCUGGUAGAGAAUGAGAGCCAUGCCAUGAUCUCAUGCACCCAAACAAUUUCUCAGCAGCAUGUAUCCAUAUAUAUGAGCUUAUAGUUAUGGUGGUCAUCACUUAUUUCAAGAACCCUAAUCGAAUGAAGAGAGUUUUUUGGAUCCACACCCUUACAUUUGGCAGCAUAAUUGUAGUUUGGUGUUUUGGAUGGAAAUUAUAUAUGGAUAUGCAGAUAAUAAAAUAUUACAUUGUUGAAUGAAUAACAUUAUUCACCUUCGAAAAAUUGCUAUAUAAACCUAAUUUAUUAACAGAACGCAGCUCCAGCCCUUGAGUCUUCUAGUUCUACGUGGAUUAAAAAAAUGAUGAGGCAAUCUUAAAGCUAUACUUUGAAUCAAAUUUCAUAUAUGUUCAUGUUUGAUAUUGGAGAUCAUUGAUUAGUAAUAUCAUAUAUGAUGAAAGAAAGAAUAUCAGAAGAACUUCGUUGAACCAGAACUUUUUUCGCGGAUAAUUUUGGGCUGGAAGAUGAUUGUUUCCUGCAAAAUAACAGAGGAAUAGGCAACAGCAGCUUCAGAUGGAAGUUCGUUAUAUGCAUCCGUUAGGUUGGUGUCGGGGGGGAAACUAAGCCCAACCUUGUAAAAGAUGUAAGCACCCAGGCUUGAGUGCAAUUGGGCCUUAAUAAUACUCUUCAUUACUGUUGUGGGUUCCUGGCUUAUAGAUAAAAAACAACCGAUGGCUUUUCUUCCAUUUUGUUUUUUUUUUUUUUUUAGAGUGAAGACUGCUGUGAGGCUAUAAUAAUUAACUAGUCUAUUACCCCCUUUCUACCGUGAUCAGAUUAAUUUUUUUAAAAUAUAUAAAAAAAAAUAUAAAGAGCCCGAAUAGUUUUUUUUAUCAUGUCAUUAAACAUAGUUGAGUGAGUUAAUUUUAAAAUUUUUAUCUAAUUUAAAUUUUUAAUUAAACUACAUUGAAUCUAAUAUGAUUUAAAUUGAUCAAUUUUAUGGAUCUAAAAAUAAUUUAGAUAACCAGUAAAAACAUAGCUUAUUUUUUUAAAAAAAACUUGAAAAUAAUAACUUUAAAAAAAAUAUUAAGACAAUGAUAUAUUAGAUCAAACUCAGUCCUCUUGACCAGGUCAUGGAAUUUAUUGAAUUUAAUAACAUGUUUUAGAAUUAUUUUUUUAAUUAUAUUAUAAAAAUAAAUGCUCCUAAAAUCCCUAAUUCUUUUUCUACCUAUGUUAUUUGGCUAAUAUUGUUUUUAAAAUAGUGCUUAUAAGAAACAACACCCCUAAAAAACUUUUAGAUAUUAAGUUGAUACUAAAGUAUAAUAUAAUUUUAUUAUUUAAAAUAAUUAAAACUUUGGGGGAUGGAGUUUGACACUAAAGCAAAAAUGCAGUCUUUUUUCUUUUCUUUACCAUUUAUGAGCCGGAUUUUUUAGAAUUUUGGUCCUUAGAUUGUUUUUUAGUCCUUUAAUUUUUUAAAUUUUAAUUUUAAUCUAAAUUUUAUUUUGAUUACUUCUGAUAUCCCAAUUUUGGUCCAAGAUAUCCCAAUAUAGAAAAAAAAAAUUCUUAAUCACCAAGACCUUUUUAAAUAAAAAGAAUUUAUAUUUCUUACCUUGAAAUCUAGAAAAUAGAAUAAAAUUUCAAUUUGUUAAGGUCAAUUUAUUUCACUUUUUUUCUCUGCACUUAUAAAAAAACAAGUGAUUCUCAGGAUUUGUUUUUUUAAAUUAUCUUGAAGAUUAUAAAACUAGGGUAAAUAAAAUUUUUACCAUUUUUUCUUUUAUAUUAAUAUAGGACUACAUGUGCUAAUAUUUGUUUUUCUAAUUAGUCCAAAAUAAAUUAUACUCUAGCACAAGAAACUAAUAAAAUUAUACCAAAAAGAUUUUGGUAUUGCAAGCAUGGUCAAAUAUAUUUAGAAAAAAACUAAUAAAUUCUUCUAUAUAUUUACCCAAAUUUGAACUUAAAAAAAAAUAAAAUUCUUUAACUAUCAAAAUAAUAUUAUAUUAAUGUAAGACCACGUCAACUGAACUAAAUGGUAAAAACAAAAACAAACCCUCUUGUUUCUAGAGCUAAGCAAGAGACAUCUAAUAAAUAUGUCUACCAAACAUACCCCAAAGUCAUAGACCUCUUAACUCACAGCAAUCCCUUUCUCCUCUCGUUUUCCCUUCUCUCUCACCCUUCCUCGCACGGCUCAAAACCUUAGAACAAACAAGAAAUGGGGGACGCUUUCUGUUCAGAUUGUAAGAGACACACGGAGGUAGUUUUCGACCAUUCAGCAGGAGACACAGUAUGUUCAGAGUGUGGUCUUGUCUUAGAAUCUCACUCGAUCGAUGAAACAUCAGAGUGGAGAACUUUUGCGAAUGAAUCAGGAGACAAUGAUCCAGUUCGUGUUGGUGGACCAACUAAUCCUUUAUUAACAGAUGGUGGUCUUUCUACUGUUAUUGCUAAACCUAAUGGUGCUUCAGGAGAGUUCUUGUCCAGUUCUCUUGGUAGGUGGCAGAAUCGUGGAUCCAAUCCUGAUCGUGGGUUGAUUACGGCUUUUAAAACUAUUGCUACGAUGUCUGAUAGGUAACCUUUUCUUUUAUUUUUUCUUAUGUUUUUGGGUGUUUUGCUUUAUUUGAUUUAUUGUGAAGUUGUGGAGGUGUUUGGAUGUGAUUGGUUGAGGUUAAUGAGAAGUUUAUGAAUUUUAUUGAUGGGUUGUUUAGAUUUUUGAUUUAGAUGGGUAAGGGAAUAUAAACUCUUGGAUGUUGAAUUUGGUGGGUUUUGAUUGGUUGCACUGUUAAUGGAAUUAGUUGAUGCUUUGAGUCUGCUGUUAGGCUGAUGAAAUUGGAACUGGAGGGGCAGAGUAGUGAUGGUACAAAUGCAAAUUCAACAAUAAAUGACCUAUUUUGAUUUGAUCAUAGAUGGAUAUUGACUAGAAGUGCUGAAAUUUUUGAAUGAUUUGGUUGUUUCUACUAAAGGCAGUCCAAUGGAAAAAUUUCAUCUUGCAUCUUUUGAAAGAAAGGAAUUAGGAUUAAAGCUCAGCUUCAGUUGAAUUAGUGGAAUAUGCCACCAAUUGCGAGUUUGUUGAAAUGGUUGUGGAAAUAGCUGUUCCAAUUUGAUUUUGUUUAUGCCUUAUAAUGCAAGGGUGUUUUUUGUUCCUCAAGAAAGUUCUACUUUUUAUAUAUGGUAGUUCCAACUUUCUAAUUGAUUUGAGGUUGACUGGAAUUGGAGUUGUGAAUCCAUUUGAUUUUGACAAUUGAUGUAAGUUCAUGACUUCACUGAUUGUUUGGUGGUUUUGGUUCGUGUGAUUAGAUUUGGACCUUUGUUGGUUGUUUGUAUUGGUGUUGUGUUUGUGGGUUGAUUUUAGAUGAGGAGGGAACUGAAUUUAGAUCCCACAUUUGGUGUGAUUUUGAUGUUGUAGCAGGGGUUUAAUUGGCUGUGAUGUUAAGGAGAUUAGUUGAUGGUUUGAUGCUGUGGUUGCUUGAUGGAACUGGACCUUUAGGUACUUAAUAGUGAUAAGAGAUGCGAAUUCAUCCCCAAGAAGGAAUUUUUUGAUGCAAGGCAGAAUGAAUAUUAAUAUAGAUUGAUAAAGUUUCAAGUCAGAAGGAACGAGAUUAUCUUGCAUCUUGAUAGGCAUCUCUGGAUUCGAAUUAUGAGUUAUUAGUAGAAGUUGACUUAGGUUUCCAGCUUGAUUAUGUUGGUGCCUUUUAAGGCUGUGUAUGCUUCAUGCAACAAAGUUAUAGUCUUUGUAAAGUGAUAGCAUUAUGUUACUGAAUUCUCACUCUCUAUUAUGUACAUACAUUUUAUGCGCAAUGAUGUUUAUGAAAAAAUACACUUUUGCAAAGUCGUUGCUAAUGUGUAAUAUUUAUGUUUCAGGUUGGGCCUUGUUGCAACUAUCAAGGUAUUCACACUUGAUAUUUAUAUAUUGAUAUUAAAACUGAUGGUUUCAACAGUGUCUUUUCUGAAAACAUCCUUGCAUGAAUAUGGAAAUAAACCCUUUACUAUCAUGUAAUAAUGUUGUCUUGUUAUUUAGUGUAUUAUCAGGUAACUAGCCAUGUAUAUCUUUCCAAUCAGAUUUGUCCUUCCCCAGCGUUCAUAAAUGUAUAAGCACAUUCUUAUGAAGUUAUGAUAUAUGAGAAUAUUCUAUAAAUUCUAUGGCUUGAUUGGAAUAAAGUUACAGGUUUUUGUAAAUAUGAUUAAUCUCUUGUAAAAUAAUGAAAUUAUGGCAUAGGAGAUACAAAAGAAAUUUUAUUCGCAAUGACCUGUGAAUGAAUUUUUUUUAUGUAUUGAUUGUAAAUAGAGCUGCAGAAUAUUUGUCUUUACAGUUUAAUUGAAAAAGCCUAAUCUACUCAAAGCAAGCAUGAAAUUCAAAGAUUUUGAUAACUGUUCACUCUUCUCAUCGAAGCAAAAGGAGACUCAUUCAUCUGUGGGGGGAGAGAAGUGAGUUAGGGGAGAUGAGAUAGCAUAUUGUUAUAUACUUUUAUUGCAAGCUUAUUGAGAAAUUAUUUGACAUAAUUCUCAUGUAGGUAUCUAAACUUACAAUGAAUAGAUCAAUCACAAACAUCAAAAGUGCUUCCCCAUCUUUUGCUCUUAUGAGGAGGAGGGGAAAAAGAUGAAGGGAGUGGGUUGUGAAGGCAUCAUGUUUAUUGGAAAACCAUAAAUAUGUUUUGAAAUGUUCAAUUUGGAUGCUUUUCUUGUUUGGUUGUUCAUGAGAACUUCCCUAAUGUUUCUUUUGUUUUUCUUUUUUGCUCCUCUGGUGAUGCAUUUUUCAUAAUAUUGAAGGAUCGGGCCAAUGAGAUCUACAAGAAGGUGGAAGAUCAAAAGUCCAGUAGAGGAAGGAAUCAAGAUGCUUUAUUGGCUGCUUGCCUCUACAUUGCUUGUCGACAAGAAGACAAGCCCCGAACUGUAAAGGGUAUUGUCUAGCAUUCUUUUAACAUAUGGAUUUUUCCUGAUUUAAUCUUUCCCCGAGUGUUUGAACUUCCCUGAACCUCUGAAUUUCAACUAGAAAUUUGCUCUGUCGCCAAUGGAGCCACAAAGAAGGAAAUUGGCCGAGCAAAAGAAUACAUAGUGAAACAACUGGGUUUGGAGACUGGUCAGUCCGUGGAGAUGGGAACUAUACAUGCUGGGGAUUUUAUGGUGUGUUUUUUUUCCCAUUAAAUUUACUGUGUUGGUGUUAUUGUUUAUUUACAGGGAGUGUUCCUUAUUGUUCAGAUGCGAAUAUGGGUUUUAUCUGUAUUAUUAGCACCAUUGUUAUUAACAUCAGCCUCAACUUGAUCUGCAGAGGCGUUUCUGCUCCAAUCUUGGAAUGUCUAAUCAUACAGUUAAAGCUGCCACAGAAGCUGUUAAAACGUCAGAACAGUUUGAUAUAAGGUAUUUACAAGUUUCUCACAUUACCUCUACUUUUACUAGAAAAGUGAUGGUUUUCUCUGUUUUGCUCAUUUUUGUUGCUCAUUCAUCACUUCUGGUUAAUAAUUGUUGCAAGAUCCAUUAACUUUAGAAUAAGAAGAAAUAGUUCAAAGACCAGGCAAAGAAAACACUCUUAACAUCUUUGUUUUAUUAACCUUUUGGAUCAAUCUAAGUUGUUCAACAAAUAUAGCCACUCUUUAUAAUCCCCUUCUAAUACUUGCAGGAGGAGCCCUAUAUCAAUCGCAGCAGCAGUCAUCUAUAUAAUUACUCAGCUCUCAGAUGACAAGAAGCCUCUUCGAGGUUUUGAUCGUUUUGAACUCUUUUUAUCAAGUGGAAACAAAUGAUUCAUUGGUGGAUAGAAUCAGAUAUUUCUGAAAUAACCCUAUUCUAUCAGUUUUAUUUAGACAAACCUUUCAGCAUUGUUGAUUUUAAACACCGUUAGACAUCUUCUCACUUAUGUUUCGGUAUAUUAGCUGCCUUGAGUUUCAAUUCAAAGAUAUGCUUUCAACUGAUAGUAGGCUUGGAUGCAGAUAUUUCACUAGCAACUGGAGUUGCUGAAGGAACAAUCAGAAAUUCCUACAAGGAUCUUUAUCCCCACGUGUCAAAGAUUAUACCAUCAUGGUAUGCCAGCGAGGAAGAUUUGAAGAACCUUUGCAGUCCUUGAACAAUACAGUGAAAUUACCGGGAAGAAAAACCCGUUUGAUUUGAUCUGUAAGCCUCCAUCUAGGAUGUAAUUAAGAAACUGUUGAGACAUACAGGGGAUGCACAAGUCCUCUCGUUCUUUUUUAUUUAAUUCCGCAGUCAACAGUACCGUCAAUUCAGGGAUAGGAAAGAAAGGAAAAAAAGAGAGAAGAAAUAGCAAUCAAUUUUAAUUUAUGCUCACCAACGACAGCAAUUUUAAUGUAAUUUUGAUGUGUAUUAAUAUUCAAAUGGUAAACCCACUUUUCAAUUCAUUUCUUUUCGUGUUGAGCCAUCCGAUUCUUGCAUCAGUUAAUUGUGAUUGCUCAUUGACCGUUGAUCAUUUGAAGAAGUGUCUGUUUCUGAUUGGGAUUACUCAAUUGACAUGAUAUGUCACAAGAGAAGAUGAAAGAAACACUUCCGCCCCAGUUUGAGUUUCCCUGUGUAAGCUCUGUCCAUGGUGAAGGGGAAAGAGAAGGAAAGAGAAGGAAAGUGGAAGUAAAGAAAACGUCUAUCUAUGUUACAAAUGAAGUUGGCAAAAAGAAAUGAAAAGAUAAAACUUUGGGUGUUACCCCGUUUUCUGCUUGUUGAAUUACUACGACUCUUUUCUAAACAAUUUUAAAAAGGUUUUUAUUUUUAUAAUUUUUAUAUAUACAUGAUAUUAUUAUUAUUAUAACUAUCAUAUCACCAUAACUAUCAUUUUACCGCUAAUGUCCCUACAUUUUCAUAAUUACGAUCACCAUUAUCAUUAUAAUACCAAUAUUAUUAUCAUGAUAAUAUCAUUCUUAAUUUUCACUGUUCCUUCUUAUCUCACCACAUUUUAUUUUAAUAUUAUGAUUAUCGUCAACUCCACAAUCACUAUUAUUAUAAAAAACUUUAAAUCAUGUGGUGUUUUCAUUCUAACAAUUCACAAUGAUAUUUUUUUUCUUCUUAAUUUAGUCCUUAAAUUUUGUUUCACUUCAAUUACAUCCUUUUUAUGUCUAUAUUCAUGACCAAUUGAGGGAAAAAAUCGAAAUUGAGGAGACCAAAAUGUAAAAUAAGAAGAAAAUGAGUUAUAAUUUUAGAAAUGGGGUGAAAAGUUCACUUUGAUCCUCUUAUUUUUUAAAUGAUAACUUUCGAUCCCUCAAUAUUUCAAAAACGCAAUUAUGUACAAAACUUCUUCUCUUUUUUUUCUUUCAAUUCUAGUUUGAGAAGAGAGAGAGAAACUAGUUAGAUUCCGGUUGUAGAAAGAGAAAGUCUCGAUUGAUACUAAUUCCAGCUACGAAAAAUAUCAAUUUUGGUGUUAACAAAUUUCAUUUUAUGAGAAGAGUUCUACCUAGAUAUUCCUUGGCCUUACCAUAAUCUGAGAUGGUAGAUUUGAGCUUGAAAAUUAUUUAUUUAUUUAUUUUUGGUCAAUUUUAGAUUUUUAGGUUUUUUAAGGUCAUUUGAAGGUAUGAAUGAGUUUGUCAAAGUGCAUAGAGUAUUUUAUAGGUGUUUUGAGUAAAAAAAUAGGUUGAAAAUGGAGUUUUUUUGGCAAAAAAAACCAUGACCUAAAUUUCCAAUGAUCCUUUAGUUGCUUGAAACUGGGCCAGUAGGCAACUUAUUAUUAUGUUUUUGUAAAUGUCAUCCAUCCUUUGAAAAAAAUGAUUCGAAGUUAGUCCAACGGCAUAGACUUGGGUUAAAAGUCCAUCCUCACUUCUAAUAACAUUGUAACAUUAAUAUCUUGUAAUAGAAGUUUCCUUCUACUAACAUUUAUAACAAAAUUAAUAUGUUUAAAUUAUGGAUAACAUGUCUAAUAAAGCAAUGCAUAUAAGAUUUAUGUGUCAACUCCUAUAAUGUUGAAAAUUAUUUUGGUUAGCAUGCCACGAUAUUUCAAUCGAUCAGGUCUGUAACUCAAGACGUAAGUAAUGAUUUGCAAGUAUAACUUAUCGGCCUAAACAAUAGAAAUCUAUGACACUAAACACUUUUUGAGAACUUCAUAUAUUUCAUUUUGACAAUUUUGAGAAAACAAGGAAUGACUUAAUGAUAUUUAUGGAUGUGUUAUGGCCAUUACAUACAUUUCCAAUUUCCAAUUUUCAAUUUACUCCACCUCCUUCAUUAAUGGCUACUGCAUUCUUUAAUAUUAGUGGCUGCGUUCUUCUUGUAGGUGAACUGCUAGUGUAUUUUGAUGACUUUUGGGCAAUGAUUACACACUUAGAAAGUAAAGUUUAUACUUUUAACAUCCGAUUUAAACUUGACUCUUUUGACUUUAUCAUUCCAAACAUGUUCUAUAUUCUUGUAAACACAUCAUACUUGAAUGAUUUUAUAAAUAUGUCAGUUAGUUGAUCAUAAGUUAUACAAGAUACCAACUCAAUUUCUUUAUUUUUCACAUGUUCUUUGAUGAAAUGGUAUCGAGUGUCAAUGUGUUUGCUUCUUUUAUAGUAUGAUGGGUUCUUUUCUAAAGCAAUCACAUAAUGACUAUCUAUGUAUAAUUAUAUAAGAUUUUCUUGUGGAAUUUUUGAAAAACUUUAAUACGUUUCUCGACCAAUUACCAUGACAUGUAACUGAUCUAGUAACAACAUACUCAGCUUCAUAUAAUAAUAGUGUAAAGAACCAAGAAAAUGAUGUCUUCCAUGAAGAAUGUGAACCUAGCUAUGCCUUUUUUUUUAUCCAAGUCAUGUCCCAAAUCAGUAUCAGUGUAGCUAAUAAGCUUGAAAUCUUCACUUUGUGUGUAGAACAAACUAUUAUUAAGAGAACCUUUUAUAAACCAAAGAAUCCUUUUAAUUGUAUUUAUAUGAGAUUAGUUAAGGGUCUUCAUGUACCUAUUAAUUAGCCUAACUUUAUAUGGUAUAUCUGGUAUAGUAUAAGUCAAGUACCUAAAGAUUUUAAUGACACUUUUGAAAUAUAUAGGAUGUAUAUCUCUUUUUCACAUUAUUUUUUAAAUCUAAUCUCGUUUCAACUGAAGUUGUCAAAGAGUUAUACUUUUCCAUUCCAAACUUCUUUAUAAUCUUUUUUGCAUAGUUGUAUUGGGAGAUGGAGAUUUUUCUUUUUUUGCUUUAUAGAACUUUUCUGCUAAGGAAAUGAGCUAUCUGGCUUAUAUUUGACAUCUUAAAUUCAUUGACCAUGCUUUUCUCGAAAGCACCAAACAUAUCUAGAUUGUUGCUAAUGAAUAUUAAAUCAUCAACAUAUAAGCAACCAAUUAUAAUGCUUUUAUUUGACUUCCUCUUCAUAUAUAAUGCAUAUUUAUAGGACACUUUUCAGAAUCAUUCUUCAUGAAAUAAUCAUCGAUCCUAGUAUUCCAUGCACGUAGAGCCUGCUUUAACCAAUAUAGGGCUUUCUUUAGCUUAUACAAUAUAUUUUAUAACCUUUCUUCAUCUAUUCAGAUGACUGAUCAAUAUCGAUUUUUUCUUCAAGGACCCCAAUUAGAUAUUUUGAUUUCAUGUGCAUAUGGUAAAUUUUUCAUUGUAAUGUACAACUAGUGAAAUCAAUAAUCUAUUGGCCUUAAAUAUGGAAACUAGGGAAAAGACUUCAUUAUGGUGAGUUUUUUUUUUGCCUGCACCCUUUUAUGACAAGCCUAGCCUUAUACCUUUGAACUUCUCUUUAAGCAUUCUUCUUUGUCUUGUAAACCUACUUGAAUUUAAUGGUCUUGUGUGUUUUUAGAAGAGUAGUCAACUUCCAUGUGUUGUUCUUUUUAAUAGAUCUAAUUUCUUCAUCCAUUGCACUCUUUUAUUUUUCUUAUUUGUUAACUUCUUGAAAACUAACUCGGUCAUAACUCGUCUAUAGACAAAAUAAAAUGUACUCAUCACCCUGUAUGAGUUUUGUAUCCUCAUUAAAUUAUUUCAAGUUUUAAACCCUUCUUGGUCUCUUGUCAAAAAAUUCUUUUAGUGCUAAGUGUGGAGUCUUAUGUAUUUGUAUUGAAGGAUGAACUCUUUUUGGUUCUUCUUCUAUUAAUUGAGUUAGUUUCUCUUCUUCAAUAGUUAAUUCUGUAUAUCUAGAAGAUUUAGUGUGAUCCUAUCUUUAUAAUUCAUUUUUUUUUUCUUAAAAAUAACAUCUUUAUUAUAUAACACUUUAUUGGUGAUGAGAUUGUACAACAUGCAUCGCAUUAUUCUAUCACCAUAUCGAAUAAAGAAAAAAUUAUUCCUUUUAUCUUCAAGUUUAGUUAUUUUCACACUUGGAAUUUUGGCGUAUGCAAUACAUCUAAAAACUUGAAGAUGACUUAUACUUGGCUUAAUGAGUGCUCUAUACUUCAUAUGAAAUUUUAUUAUUUAAACUUCUGUGGGAUAUUUAUUGAAUAGAUAAGCUUUACAUGAAAUUGCUUCAUCCCAAAAACAUUUGGGCAAUGACUUUUCCUUUAACAUGAUUUUAGCCAUGUUAUGGAGUGUGUGACUCUUUCUCUUAGCAACAUCAUUUAGUUGAGAAGUGUAGGUUGGAGUGUACAUAUGCUUAAUUCCUCUCUACUUGAGGAAUUCUUUAAAUUUUCUUGCUUUGUAUUCAUCACCUUGAUAUGAUUAAAGCAUUUUGAUUUGGUAGCCACUAUUUUUUUAACAAAGGCUUUAAACUUUUUGAAGUUAUCAAAUACCUUUGAUUUCCUUUUCAAAAAACACACCCAAGUUCUUUUAUUAUAGUUGUUAAUGAAAGUGAGGAAAUAUUACUUUUCUCAAUUUAAUUUUAUAUUUAAUGGACCACACAUAUCAGUGUGCAUUAACUUGAGUGCUUAGUUGCUCCCUAAUUUGCUUCAUUUUCAAAAAUAUUUAGGUGCAACUUACUAGGAACACAUAUUUUAUAAAGCUCAUUUGGAUGAUGAAUGUUUGGAAUACCUUUCACCAUCUUCUUGCUUUCGAAUUAUUUUAGACUUUUUAAAUUAAGUUGUUCAUAUCUGAGAUGUCAUAACCAAUCUUUAUCAUUAAUAAUGCUUCUUAUACACUUUGGUAUAUUAUAGUGAAUAGUGAGUGAACGCAUCAUGUUCUUCUCCAUCUUCACUCGAGUAAUCAACUUCCCUCGAGUAUCUGCAAGUGUCAAGUACAUAUCCUUUAAUUUGAUUUGAUAACCUUCUCUAUUAAGUGUCCAAGAUUGGAUAUAUUUGUCUUUAUUUCUAGAAAUAAUAGACAUUAGAGAUGAAAGCAUGAUCUCCAUCCUUCUGCUUGAUUAGAACAUCUCCUCUCUCUCAAACUAGGACUUUAGAGAGAUCACCUAAUGAUAUCUCUCAUUAAACUUUAUCAUCAAAUUCAACGAAUAAGUUCUUUUAUCAGAAUAUAGGAUUGUUUUUUUUAUCAUCAGAUAAGGAUACUUUAACUUUCUUAGAUAAUACAUCUUUGAAACUAUCUUCCAUGAUAUCCAAGACAUCUUGAAAACCUAGUAGGCCUCUCAUAUGAAUGCAUCAAUUGUCAUAAUUCUCUUUUAUCAAUUUCAGGAUGAGCACUUGUGUGGUUUCGUAGGCCAUUGAUUUUGACUUUAUUAAAACAAGUCUUUAUAAAUUAAGUUUUGAAAAAAAAUGACUUUGUCAAUGAGUCUAGAAGAGUUUAUUUUGUUAGGUAGAAUUGUUCUAUAAUUUUUAGAAAUUUUAGGUUUACUUUUGAAAUUUUAGAAACUUUAGGGUUUGUUAUAAAAUUUAUGAAAGAUUUUGGGUUGUUUUACAAAUUUCAAAAACUUUAGAGGUUGUUAUAAAAUUUAUAAAACUUUUAGAGUUUUUUGUAAUUUCUUAAAAUUUGGACUAGUUGUCUUCUCCAAUGACAAUGAUUUUUUCUGAAAAAACUUCGGCAGGCUUUUGGACGCUUGUCUGAACUUCAUUUGGGUUGAUAUUUCAUUUAUUGUGAUUGUCCCUUUGAGUACUUUUCAAUGGUUUAUUCAAAAAAUAUUUUUGAACACAUUAGUUUAUAGGUAAAAAUCAAUAACACAUUCUAUUUUUUAUUCUUAGGUUCUGAUACCACUAUUGGAUGGAAUGGGUAAUUGAGGUUACUAGUGGUGCACCUCCAAGAGAGUAAAAUUUACACAGACAAAAACUAAAUUUAGAAUUAUUUCAAACAUACAUAAGAUUACAACUCCCUCACAGCCUCUCUUUCUCUUUAACUCUUUUUUAUUUUCUUGAUCACUCCUCACAUCUAAAUACUCGGAUUACAUGCAUUUUUAUAGGAAAACAAAGACACUAAAAAAUAUCAUUGCUCAUAUUACCUUUUCUUUUUCAUUUCAACUAUUAUUGUACCUACUUCACCUCCUUCAUUAAUGACUAUUACAUUCUUCAAUAGUAGUGGUUGUCUCCUUUUUAUAGGUGAGCUACUAGUGAGUUUUGAUGACUUCCGGCAAUGGUUACACAUUUAACAAGUCAAGUUUAUACUUCCAACAAAUGUCAUUCCAAACUUGUCUUUGUUUAAAGGAAUAAAAAUUAUGAGGCUGAAGAGAAGUAAUGAAAGGUUGGCUGGUAUGGGUGUAGUGGUUGUAGAGUUAGGGAGAAUCUGGUAGUCAUGUAAGGUGAAGAGAGAGGGAAGAGAGAUAGGAGAAAUAUAAAGGAGAAAAAGAAAAGAGGAAAAAAGGAAAUAAAAAGAAAAAAAAUAUAGAGAUAAAUUUGAAAGAAAAAGGUGCCAUAAGUAAAAACUAACCAUACUUUUUUUUUCUUUAGUUUUUAAUCCAAAGAUACAAAGAAGAGUCACAUACAUAUGUAAAAAGAUAUAAUAAACAAAAAAAACUUUAUAAGGACAUAGCAAACCGAAUUAAUAUAGUACAAAAACAUUUUUCUGCUUUAAUUCAUAGAAAAAAGCAUCUCUUUAAUUACAUUAUACAUUCAAUCUUAGUAAUCAAGAAGAGAAAAACAAAUAAAGCUUAAAUUCACUCCAAUUGUUUAUAUUUAUUAACCUCUAUAAAAUUCAAAAAAUUGAUCAGCAUAAGUUAAUUUUAACCAUUUUUCCUCAUUAUUUUUUUAAUUUAAAAUAUUAAGUUAUAGAAAAAAUAAAAUUUAAUUAUAAUUUUUAUGUUUUUAUUUUUAUUUUUAAUAAAAAAUAAAAGAAAAAAAUUAAAAAUAUGUAAAAUUAACUAAAAAAACUUGUGAGACUAAUAUUAAGAUCAUAUUAGCAAUAUCUUGUUCCUUCUUUCUUUCUUUCUUUAAAAAAAAAUAAUCAAUGUUUCUAUAAAUCAAGCAUCCACUUUAUGAUUUAAUGUCAUCUAAAGCAAACAAUGAUUUAAAUUAGUGCCUUCUAAAUCAAUGUUUGAUAUGUUGGUCUCAUACAAUUCUUAUUAGUUAUGUUAAAUUAGACCAUCCUUAAGCUAUCUAUUUGUUUAUACAUCUUAUUAAAAACAAAAUAGUUGACUUGGUCCACGAACUUAAGGUUGCCUUUGUUUAGUGUUCUAGGAUAGAAGUGAUGUAAACAUGUUUGGUUGAAGGAACAAAGAUAAAAAUAUAAAAAUAAAUAUAUUUCUAAGAUAAUUUUGAAGUGAAUUUUUAUCCUAUCAAAAUGGAAAGGACAAAUAAGUCAUGUCUUCUUUAUCCCAGUUGUCUUCAUCUCUUUGUCGCAUGAUACUAGCCAUUCAUUGUAUAAUAAUUAUGAUUAAAAAGUAAGUAAUGUAAAGUAACCAAAUGGAAGGCUUAUGGGAAACCAAUUUAUGGUCAUUGCAUUAUAUAUUAAAUCAUGUUUGAAUGAGUCAAAAUAAAAAGAAAGGUGCUAACUGUAUACAAGAAAAAAAAUCCCUGAAUAUCUUAUUUAAUAGGAUGAGUGGAUUCAAUAAGUCUAAUGGGUGGAUUUUUCUAGUAGUCAUCAUGGAAAGGUUUUUUUAGUGAAAUUAGCAUUACUCAAUAAGUAAAUUCUAAUAUGAGAAGGUUCCUAUAUAAAAAGGUUCCUAUUUGUGUUUAGAAUCCUUGUUAAAUUACUGUUUAGAAUCCUUGUUAAAUUAGAUUAGGUUAUAUUGAUCUUAUUUUUAUCUUAUAAUCUCUUUUUAUAUAUUUAAGAGACAUGUAUGCAUAAUUUAAUGAUGAAUAAGAGAAGGGAGGUUCAAAAUACUUUAUAUGUGUCUUAUUUUUUAACAAUUAAUAUCAUACCGUGUUAAAAGAAGACCAUUUACUUAUUUUGUUAUAUUCUCACAUUGUAAUCUAGUAGUUUUUGAAGAUGUUGUAAAAUAAUUAAAGUGUAAAAAGGCUAUGGAUAAUGACAUUAAUGUCAUCAAAAGAAACAAUACUUAAAAGUUAAUGGAGCAUCCAAAAGGACAAAAGACCAUUGACAUGAAACACAAUUACCACCGAUGCCAUAAUUAUUGACGGAUUAUCCGUCGGUAAUUACCGUUGAAAAUUCAGACGGUUUUAGUCCGUCGGUAAUGUUCCCGCGGGAAAUAUUUUUUUUUGGCACGCAUAUCCGUCUGUAAGACCGUCAGUGUUUCCGUCGGUGGGUGGUUUUUUUUAUUUGCGACAGAAUUAGCGACGAAAAGACGAGUUACCGACGACUAUUAUACCGACGGACUAAAUCCAUCGGUGAAACUGUCGGUAAUUAUUUCACCGACGAAGUUCAUUCUUGUCACCGACGGAAUUAGUCCGUCGGUAAAACUGUUUAAUGGUGUAGUGAAAUAAGUGUUCAAGAUAAAGUUAAAGGAAAAUGACAAAGUCGACAAGUAUAAAGCACAUCUAAUAACCAAAGGUUAUAUGUAAGCAUACAUUAUCAAUUACAAAGAAGUUUUUGCUUAAAUUAUAAGACAUGACACAAUUAGAUUGAUUCUUGCUUUGGUAGCUCAAAAUUCAUUAUUUAUCUUAUAGUUGGAUAUAAAAUCAGCUUUUUUACACAAAGAUCUACAAUAACAAGUAUUUGUUUAUCAAUCUUCUGAUUAUAUGAAAUUAGGUGAUGAACAAGGUCUAUAAGUUUUAAAAAAGCUCUAUAUGAGUUGAAGCAAGUUCCAAGAGCUUCAUACAGUCAUAUAGAAGCUUAUUUUUUUUUAAGAAGUUUUUAAAAGAUGUCCAUAUGACUAUAUUUUUUUUUAAAUUAAAGACGGAGAAAAAAUGCAUUUUGUAUGUUUAUAUAUAGACGAUUUAAUUUACACUAGAAAUGAAAGAGCCAUAUUUGAAAUUUUAAAAGGUUCAUAAUGACUAAUUAAGUUCGAUAUGUCUAAUCUUAGAAAGUUACAUUAUUUUUUUGGCUUUGAAGUGGUUUAAUCUACUACUAGAAUUUUCAUUUCUCAAAAGAAAUAUGUUUAAGAAGUUUUAGAUAAACUUCAAAUAAAAAAAUAUAAUUUAGAAAAUACACUAACUGAGUUUGAUUUGAAACUAGAUAAAGAUUAUGGAGGAAAGAAGGAUGAUAACAUUCUUUACAAGAAGAUUGUAGGAAGUUUAAUGUAUGUAACAAUAGACAGUAUAUACAUUAAGAAACCAACAAAGAUACAUGUUCAAACUAUUAAAAGGAUACUUUGGUACCUAAAAGGCACCAUAUGCUUUGGUUUGUUCUAUAAGAAGGGAGAAAAGUCAAACUUGAUGAGUUUUAUUUACAGUGAUAAUAUAGGAGAUUAAGACAAUAGAAGAAACACUUCAAGUUAGGAAUUAGCGAAUUGGUGUCGUUGCAUAAGAUGAGGAGCAUCAAUUCGGCUCUAAUAGCUACAUGAAUGGAUUAUUAGACGAGGCCUGCAGCUUUCUCGUUAUUCAAAAACGAGUACAUAUAGGCAUAGUGUUGUUUUCCAAAGAGACAACAUCAUCAAACAAGAACAUUGUAGAGCAAAUGCCACUUCAUUUGUUUGUUAGUUUGCUUGGUCUUCGGUCCAGUCUUCUUGUUUUGCAAGCAUUGUAUAGAUAGAUGCCGGUAGAUAUGGACAUUGCGACUGAUUAAUUUAAUGAAAUAGGUAACUUUCUAGAGGUAAAAAAAUGAAAAACAAGAAAAGGUUAAUGACCAUGAGACUUUGUCCAGAGUAUUGUUGUUAACCAGAAAUUGUCCACGUAUCUAGGCUAUGUUUCUUUCUUGAAAAGUGGUUUCCGGAAAAUCACUUUCCAAACUUUCCUGUGUUUGUUUGUCAUUAUGAAAGUUGGUCAACGGAAAACACUUUCCAGUCAAAGGAAAAUUUGGCUUGGUUUCCAGGAAAGUGUUUUCCUGAAAAAUUUGGACGGAAAACACUUUCCGGAAGUUGUGAAAAAUUUAGAAAUAUCAUAUUAUUUGCUGAUUAUAUCAAAUUUGGUUCUCAAACUUUUAAUUGCUAUAUAUAUUUUGUUUUAAAUAUUUAUUUUUCAAUUUCAUCUCUUAAAAUUUAAUUUUUAUAUUAACUUUGGUCCUCAUUUUUAUAAUUGUUAUUUGUUUUUUCCUUAUCAUUUUUUUUAUUGAAAUUUUUUCUCUAUUAAAUUUGAUCCUCAUUCUUUUGAUUGUUAUUUUAUUUGAAAUAAUUUAUGAAAUGUUAAUUAUUAUUAGUUUAAUUUCUUCAUCUUUUUUUUUUAAAUUUGAUCUCUAUUAUUUUGAUUAUUAUUUAUUUUAUUUGAGAUAAUUUAUGAAAUUAUAUUUUUUUUCAAUUUGAUUCUCAUUAAAUUUUUUAAUUUGUAAGAUUUGUUCAUCAUUAUUUUAAUAAACUUGAGAAAAAUAAAACAUUAAUAAGUUAUUUUCCAGCUCAUUUUCCAUGACAUAACCAAACACUGGAAAGUGUUUUCCAACUUAUUUUUCAUUACACUACCAAAUAUCAGAAAAUAAUUUACUUUCCCGGAAUUCACUUUAAAAAAAAAAAUUACUUUCCAGCAAACAAACGGGCCCUAAAGUAAAGACAGUUUUCAUUUAUGGCUCUAUCCUGGCAAGAAUCCAUCAUCUAGCUAGGCUUACAAGGUACUUAAUACCUCUCUAACUACAAGUAUAACCUUACCAAUAUAGCACAUUAACUAAUUAGAGAUUAGAGACGUAUACGAACAAUGUUUUCUAAACAAUGAAUAUAUGCAGUUUUUCUCCUAUAUAUUAUCCAAUUGCAUAUAAGGCUAUUGCUACUUUCAUUUUUCAUACACAAAAGCACGUUUCUCCCUUAGUUAUCAAUCUCAAAUAAUUUGACAACUUUUAUUGACGACAAACACAGCAUUAUCAAUUUCAUAUUCUACUCAUAAUCCCAACCACCCUAGUCUCUAUAUAAAAGCCCAUCCCCUAACACAACAGCAUCAUACGAAAACACAUAAAAUCUAUACCCAGAGCCAUUUCAAACAUCUUCCACCCUAUGGCUAACCAACAAGACCCACCAAGCCACGGCAUAAAUGACCUCACAAAACAAGCACAAGUUGUUGUGGUCAUGGUGCCCCUUCCAGCACAAGGCCAUCUUAACCAGCUCCUCCAACUCUCUAGGCUCAUCCUAUCCCACAACAUCCCGGUCCACUACGUUGGCGCCACCACCCACAAUCGUCAGGCCAAGCAGCGCGUACACGGUUGGGACCCAAACGCCGCUGCAAAUAUCCAUUUCCAUGAUAUCGAAAUCCCUCCUUUUCAUUGCCCCCCGCCCGAUCCAAAAGCCAAAAUCAAAUUCCCUUCUCACUUACAACCAGUCUUCAACGCCUCAUCUCAACUUACCGAGCCUGUUUCUAUGCUUUUACGUGCACUUUCUUGCAAAGCAAGAAAGGUUAUUGUAAUUCAUGACUCUUUAAUGGGGUCUGUGAUUGAAGAAGCUCGUUUCCUCUCGAAUGCCGAGUCUUACACUUUCCAUAGUGUGUCUGCUUUUGCUAUUUCCUUGUAUGAAUGGGAACAAGAAGGGAAGCUUAUAGAGGAAAAUGAGUUGUUUCCACGGGAUACUCCUUCUCUAGAAGGGUGUUUUACUGAUGAGUUUGCGGAUUUCGUUGAUUGUCAUUAUAGUAAGUACCAAAAGUUUAACACUGGCUGUGUUUACAACACUUGCAAAUUGGUAGAAUCUGCUUAUUUGGAUUUUCUUGAGAAAGAAACAAUUAAGGAAGGCAUUAAGCAUUGGGCACUAGGGCCUUUCAAUCCUGUGACAAUACCAGAAAGAUCAGAAAGCUCAAAAAAGCAGCAUUUUUGCUUGGAGUGGCUUGAUAAACAAGCAAAAAACACGGUAAUUUACGUGUCGUUUGGGACGACGACCACCUUCGAUGAUGAACAAAUCAAGGAGCUGGCAAUUGGGUUGAGAGAAAGCAAGAAAAAGUUCAUAUGGGUUCUAAGAGAUGGUGAUAAAGGAGAUGUUUUCAAUGGAGAAGAGAGAAGAGCCGAACUUCCAAAAGGGUAUGAGAAUUCAGUGGAUGGGAUAGGACUAGUGGUGAGAGACUGGGCACCCCAACUAGAGAUUUUAGCUCACCCGGCAACAGGAGGGUUUAUGAGUCAUUGUGGAUGGAAUUCUUGCAUGGAAAGCAUUAGCAUGGGAGUGCCAAUUGCAGCUUGGCCUAUGCACUCGGAUCAACCAAGAAACACAGUUCUAAUAACAGAAGUCCUCAAGAUUGGAAUUGUCGUUAAGGAUUGGGCGCAACGAGAUGAGAUUGUAACAUCUAAGAUUGUUGGAAGUGCUGUGAAUAGGCUAAUGGCAUCAACAGAAGGUGAUGAGAUGAGAAAGAGAGCAGCAGAAAUGGGGGAGUCCGUGCGAGGAUCCGUGGCUGAAGGUGGAGUUUCUCGUAUGGAGAUGGAAUCCUUCAUUGCUCAUAUCACUAGGUAAUUAAUUAAAUUCAAUUAACCCUGUUUUAGUCAUCAUCAUGUGGAAUUAUCAUGGCUAUCAAAUCUGAAUUACAAUAAAAUGAAGGCAGGUAAGUCCAUGAAAUGUUGUCCUUAUUGUACUCGUUGGAUUGUCAUGAAAUUAUAUUCUACUGUUUUUGCUUAUAAAGGAGGAGAAAAAAAUGCAGACUGUUUUAUAUAUAUAGAUUAACCUAUCCACCCAUCGUCUAUGAGUGAUUAUACAUUCACUAAGAAUAGUUUGAGCGAUUCCAUCAUAUUUAUGUUGGAAUUAAAGUUGAUAGGAUCUUUCAAUUAAAUUGAAUCAAAAGACACUACUUAAAUGUUGAAUUGGAUGUUUCCAUGUUUAGGCGGUGUUUGUUUACGCGGCUGCAAUUUGCUUUUUAAAGCAAACCACAGCCUCAAAUGUUUGGUAACAAAAAAACCACGAUCUACUAUUCAUGUGGGGCCGGCUAAAAUGAGUUAAAACAGCAUGUUUGUGGAAAGCAGCUCUUUGUUGCUUUCCGCAAACUUGCGGAACACAGUGGAGAGUUACUCCACUGUUCCGGACCGACCGAGUCCGGUCCAAAUCUAAAUGUAUUGAACCGGGUCCGAUCCGAUUAAAAAAAAUUCAAUUUUUACUUUUUUAAUUGUGUUUUAUUCGAAAAAUUAGAAGGAGAUCGUUUGACGACGUAACAUUUGCAGAAUUUGAUCGCAAUCCCAAUUUUAUUCUUGUCGGGUUCGACCCAGUUAAAAAAACAUCCAGUUUUUAUUUUUAUUUUUAAUUAUGUUUUAUUCGAAAAAUUAGAAGGAGAUCGUUUAACGACAUAGCAUUUGCAGAAUUUGAUUGCAAUCCAAAUUUUGUUCUUAAUGAUAUUUUUACCUGAUAUUGUUGCGCUCUUAAUAAACCAUGGAAAAUGUAGUCCUUGUUGGAUAGAUUUCGUACGUGAUGAAAUUGCACGUAGUUUAAUGGAAUAAUAAAAAAUAUUUGAUAUCAAUAUUAUUUAUUUCAUGAUGUAAUAACAGUAGUUAAAUCUAAAAUAUUUAAAUUAAAAACCAUCAAUAUUAAUAUAUAUAUAUUUUAAUUAUUUUAUAACCUCAAUUUAAAAAGCAUUUUUUUAACCAAACAUAUUAAAUUACUUUUUGUCCAACCUCAAUUUCAACCACAGUUUUAACCAAACAUAUAUUUUUCCAAAUCAACCUCAACUAAAAAUAUUUUUUAUAAAAUAAUUUUUUUCAAAUAAAAACCACAACAGUUACCACAUUAGCAAAUAUACCCUUAAUCAAGUUGUUUUAACUCGUAGUGAAAAUUUUCUUAUUGACUAGACACAAAGAGAGAGAAAAUAUAAAAAAUUAUUUUACCAUGAGUAGAUUACCCGAAUGUGGCCGGUUUAUCAUGGAAUUUGGUUCUUGUUGUAGAAAAAAUUCAACGAAAUACAAGUACGGUCAUAAAAAGCAAUGCCUGUGCCUCUGAGAAAUUAAGGACAAAGGAAAGGGUUUCCCUCCUAAUUAAUUGCAACAAAGAAGGAUAUUCGUCCUCUUGAAGACACAAGCGUUAUAGAACAAAUAAUUUGCUAGGAAGGAAAAGAGUCGAAAAGUUCUAAUUGAGAACUAAUUUAACGACUAAUCUACUACAGAAUAACUUGGCUUUAUCUAGCAAGCGCAUAAUUAAUUAAUCUAGUUUCAAUGAAUAUUACACAUCAAACAAAAUUAUUGGGGAAAAAAUUCAAUAGCGUAAGAUCAACACACACAUGCAUAUGACCCGCCCACCACUUACGUACACUAUUAAAAAUAAUUGUUUCUGAAGACUUCUUCUGAGAUUACGUCUCAAAGCUUGAUACAUAUAUAUAUAUAUAUAUAUAUAUAUAUAUAUAUAUAUAUAUAUAUAUAUAUAUAUAUAUAUCAAGCUUUGAUUUACGUCUCAAAUGGAAUGGACUAUUAAUUCUUUAAAGGCUAGAUUUAAGGUUAAAAUUCAAAAAAUUAAAGAGAAGAAAAAACCUCCUUAAUUACUUUUUUAUGUUAAAAUAUUUUAAUUAUACAAUGGAAGUAUCAUUAGAUUUUAGAAGGGGUAAAUAGAGUAACGGAACUCCCUAGAGUUUAUGAAAUUAUAAGAAAAAAAUUUCAAUUUGAAGGUAUAAAAAAAAGGGUCAAAAUAUCUUUAAUAUUUUAAAAUUUUUCUUGAUGUUAAAUUAUUAGUUUUAAAAAUAUUGAUAUCAUCUUAGGUAAAAUAAAAUUAAUUUUGUAUUAUUUUCUUAAAUAUAAAAAAUUUCUUAUUAAAAUUUAAACUUGUAAAUAUUUUAUAUAAUUUCACAAUAUUUAUUUUGGAAGUUGAUAAGCAAGAGACUAUUUGUAUUGUAGUAGCUUUUAUUUUUUCUAGAAAUGUUUUUAGUUAGUUAAAUAACUUUUAAAAUAUAAUUGUGUUUUAAAUUUUAAUUUUAUAAAAAUUAAAAUAACUUAAUUUUUAUUUAUAAAACUUAAUUUUUAUCUAUUUUAUAUAUAAAAAUCAUUUAUAAUAACAAUAACAACUAACACAAUAGCAAAGACAAACUUAAGUGGCCAUUGCCGCGCUGCUUGCUUCAUCUCAUACGUUUUUGUUUAAAAAAACGAUGACCAUCCCAAGAAACCUUUUACAUAAAUUAACCAUGUUUUCUUAGCUUGACCACCUCAACUUUUGUAAAAUAACGUUUAUUAUACUUUAUGUACUAAAAUACUUCGGAUGCAACGUAUCUCGUUUGCUUUUUAUGUUGCUAUUUAAUUUUUAACUUUAUUUUGAAAAAAAAUUUGAGAACAAAAAAAAAUUGCAAAAAACAAUAAAAACCCCAUAAAAAUAUGUUUUUAACAUCUUUACAUCACUUGCAGUGUUUUUUUUCUAUGUAUUCAAUUGCUAACGCGCUUUUUAAGUCUAUAUUGAAGUUGUUCUUUUUCUAUAUAUAUAAGAAAAAAUCAAAAUGAACAAAGGGACUAAAAGUGAAAAGAAAGAAGUUGAGGGAUUAAAUUGUUUUUCGAGUUACUUGGUCACUAAGUUUGCUUGGAGACCACACAAUUAAAAAUAAUAAACUUAUUUACUUAUAAACAUAUGGUUAUAUCACAAAAAAAAUAAAAAUGAGGAGAGCCAUUAAAAAAAUCCUUAACCUAUUUUCUAUACAAUAGCCACCACCCACUUUUCCAGUCGAAACCCCUCUCCAUAAAAAAAGUGUGUUUGGUAUUGUGGUAGCUGUUGUGCUUGUGGUUUGAAAAAAGUUAUUUUAUAAAAAGUGCUUUUAGUUGAGGUUGAUUUGAUAUUUAUGUAUGUUUGGUUAAAACUGUGGUUGAAAUUGAGGUUAAACAAAAAGAAGUUUAAUGUGUUUGGUUAAUAAUGCUUUUGAAAUUGAGGUUAUAAAAUAAUUUUAAAAAAUACAUAUUAAUAUUUAUGGUUUUUAAUUUAAAUAUUGUAGAUUUAACUAUUGUUAUUAUAUCAUGAAAUAAAUAAUACUUUAUAUAAAUAUUUUUCAUUGUUCCAUUAAACUAUCUACAAUUUCAUCACGUAUGAAAUAUAUCUGACAAAGACUACAGUUUUUUUGGUUUCUUAAGUGCGCGACAACAUCAAGUAAAAUAUAAUUAGGAACAAAAUUGGAAUUGUGAUCAAAUUCUGCAAAUGCUACGUCAUCAAGCGAUUUCUGUCUAAUUUACGUAGUGUCAUUGAAUAAUGUUAAACACUAAUUUUUCUAAUAAAACACAAUUAAAAAAUUAAAAAUAAUUUUUAUUUUUUAUUUUACUGGGUCGGACCCGGUUCAAUGCAUGUUGAGCUUUGGACUGAACCUGGUCCGGUCGGAACUGGUUCGACUGGAACAGUGUAGCAUGCUACACUGUUCAUGCUAAUUGCACUGUUAAGUGAACAGUGCAAUUAACAUGAACAGUGCGUGAAAAGUAGGAAUUCCUUGCUUUUCUUUCCCUAUGUUUCGGACUCAAAAAUAAUGUGGGACCCAUGCAUAGUAAAUCUUGUUUUCAUCUUUAUUAAACGGCUUAAAUCUGUGGUUUCAUUAAAACGCAAUCGCAGCCACGUAAACAAACAGGCUCGAAUUCAUCUCCUUCAACUAGCUUCCAACAGCCCAUGGCCAACCCACCAGCAGCCUAACCAACACCUUCAUCAACAAAACCUUAAUUUAGCCGCCAACCGGGCGUCUCCUCUCAAGACCCACAACAGACCCACCGACAACUAAACACACAAAACCAACAACUCUAUACUGUGAGCCAUAAUAGCCUUAGCCACUAUAAAAAGCCAACCCCCAUUUACCAAAUCACCCCAGCCUCUUCCACCACCAAUUACAGCUUCAACUAAUGAAAAGACACCUUUUAUCUCGACAAAAAUAGCCUUCACAGUAGCCCAGUCAUGCGCCGCCAAGCAACUCCAGUUCACGAACAAUAACCGUCGCCCCUUUCAAAUUCAAUCGUCGGCCAACAUACCUCUCCACUAGCCAUUGACUAUAGCGAACACCAUUAAUAGGCCAAGAGAGGGCUGGAAAAAAAGAUCCCCUAAUGAGAACAAAGAAGGAAACCAAAACUUGUUGUGUGUGUCUUUUGUUUUUCAGGUCUCCAUCGGUGACACCGCCGGUAUAGAAAGGGAGAAAAGAAAGAGAUCUUCUACUGCGAUGAACUGAGACCUUUUAUUCAACAAGUAUACUGCUUAAACUCUAUUAUUAAUGAACAAUUUAUCUCAUAUAAUAUCAUAAACUGACAUAUUAUUGAAUACCUCAUAGACAACAUCGUCAAUAUUUACUGUCCCAAAACUCACAAUUGACUGAAUCAUAAAUCUUUCGAUUACAAGAACAAUUUUUCAUGUGGUUCAGAACACAUGUAAGUACUGUUUAAUUAUUAUUAUCUAUCGGAAUACUUAAUUUCAUUAUACAUUUCUUGUUAACUAUUCAUAGUUGUACUUCAUGUACCGGGUUUAUAAAUUAGGAGGGAAUGGUAGUGUUACUUUGUCUUUACUGAGUUUAGGUCCUGAAAGAAAAGUGAAGUGCUACAACGGAUAUUUUAUCUAAUAGACACAUGUUUCAUACAGAAGAAUAUGGGAAGGGUAGAAAGACAUAUAACAAUAGGCUUUGUGUUAAGGGAUCGACUUCAAAUGAGUUUGAAGUUGACUAUUAUGAAAAAUUAAAAAAGGUAAUUGCAUUGCAGUAUCAUAGCAUGCAAACUAAAGUAUUUUUAUUUAAAUGUUAUUGGUAUGACACCACUGAUGGAGGAAUUAAAGUAGAUCUCUAUCAUGGUUUGGUCAAAAUUAAUUCAAAGGCUAGAACAUGUUAUCGAUUUACUUCAAUUUCCAACGAAUCAACAUGAUUUGGCCAAAAAUAGGUUUCGGUACCGAAACCAAAUGUUAGAAUUUAAACUUAUUAAAUCAUGUUAUUGAUUCGAAUGAAUCAUAGAUUAUUGACUAAUCAAGUCCAAUGAAUAAUUUUGUGCAAAGAAAUGGACCAAGAUUGGUUCAAAUCAUGUAUCUAAGGCAAUGUCCUUCACUAGAGCACGAAGAACAUUGCCUAGCCAACAAACCCAACAAACAUGCCCAAAAUGCAACCACUAUCAAACCUUCAAAACUGAUAUUUUUGGCUUCUAAAACAUGUUUUAUUUAUCCCAACAGGUUACACUAAUAUACACAAAUAUAUUUGAAUAAAAAAACACUAGCAAAAAACAUCAAAAAUACUAAAAUCAAGCUUAAGAUAUAUACCAAAUCCCGAAAGAAAAAUAACUUAACACAACAUAUAUGCUCAUGCAACAUGGAUUCAAAAUUAGCCUUUUGAACCCAUUUUGUUCAUGAACAUGCAUAGAAAAGCCAAGGAAAACACCCUUGUAUUAACAUGCAUAAGCUAGGUCAAAAAAACAAACUAAAACAAUAUUAUAUAUCAAAAACAAACUUAAAACAAUAAUAAACAAGUAUCAAAACAUCAAAAAACUUUAGAAAUAACAAGACUGAAUGGAAACACAACAACAAAGUGGUGAAUGCAAGAUCAUUUGUUAAGCAUUCUGAAUCUCUUUGUUAUGCUUGUAAACAUAAACAUAAAACAAAAAACAAAUAAAAAACAACUAAAUAAGGCCAUAAGGGCCUGUUUUUGGAUUAGAAAGGUAUCUAGGAUAACUAUUUCUGUUUUUUUUUCAGACCCUUUUCUUUUGAUUUUAAGGGGGUAUUUAUAGGUUUUUGGAAGGAUUUUGAAUCCAUUCUUGACCCUUUAUCUUAAGGGAAGGGUUGUGAACCCUUGAUAAGAACCCAUGAGAAGCCUUUGGUGUGAAGACAUGAAAAGAAAGCUGGUUUUUUACACAAUUGAGUUUCACCUUUGGAUGACUGAGUUAUCUAUUUUUGAGGUUUCGUCGGAGUCCUCUGUGACCACCUUAACUUGGUAAAGGAGAUGCAUACCUUUCAUUUGAAUCCAACCUUGCUCAAUUUGGAGAUCUGUAAGUCCAUAUUUAUUUGUUUGAAAUUGCCAACCCGAUUACCCAAAACAGUCGAAAACAAAGGUCUAGUCGACUAAACACCAUGUCGCUCACCUUCUCUUGUUUAAGUUUGAAAGACACAUCGUUUGGGUGAGAUUAUGGAUUUUAAUUUGGGAUUUGCAAUUUUUAAUUAAGUCUCUGUUCUUCUAAUUUCUUUUAAUUGCUUCUCUAAUUGCCUUUAAACUUUUAAUUUCUUGCAAUUUCACCACCGACAAACUCAACUGUCAGCCUUUAAGUUGGCCGUCUUUUUCAUUUUGAUUAUUGGUUCUGAAUUUGUGCAUUUUAACCCUCAAUUGACCAAACAACUUCUAAUUUCUUCAAUUUGGCCUCUGAUUUGGUUAAUUUCAGCCCUUACAUUCACACGCUUUUUUUCAAUUUGAUCCUUGGUUUUGUAUUUCUUUAAUCACGUCUCUAAUUUUCCAUCAAACUUCUAUAUUUAUGCAAUUAAGCCCUUGAUUUGACCAGAUUAACUCUUAAAAAUUUCAAUUCGACCCCAGACUUUAACUUCUUCCAAUUAAAGCCUAAAUUGACUAAAAAAAUAAUUUUUCUUGCAAUUAAGCCCUUAAUAAAUUCAAUAAAACCUUGAAAAAUUCUAAUUGAUCACUUAAACAUCCGUUUUGGAUUUCUCUCCUCAAAUUAAAUUUUCUUUGUCAAUAGGGCAUUCAUUAGUGGAAAAUACAUACACUGCCAAAUUUUUUAAUUUUGCAUAUUUGAUCCUCUUCAACCAAUCUUCGAUGAGGCAUUCCUUGACUGAGUUGAUAAGUGUGCUAUAAUUAAAAAAUACAUGAAUAUCUCAUAUGAGAGGAUGAUGAAGUUGUAAUUAGGCUGGAUGAUGGAGCUUCUUCAAGGUGGAGAAGGGUUCAACAUGACCUAGUUAUACGAAGUAGGUCACCUGUUGUGUCUUGGUUCUAUAUGUGAUAAUUAUUGGGAGAUUUAUUUUUUCUUCCUAAUUAUAAACUAAUAAAUACUUCUUUCAAGUCCAACAUCCAGACUAUGAUCAAAUUAUGAAGGCAAAGUAUCUUUUUGAGAAUCAAAUUAAGAAUUAUUAGUAGUUUUGCUUAGCUUAUUAUUUAAUCUCUACGGUUAUUGUUAUUAAGAAUUAUUGACAUUCAAAGUUUAUUAAAUCAUAAUUCUUUAUACAAUUUAACUAUAAUUUUAAGUUUUGUGAAAUCCUGAAUUUUUUUCAUACGCACCCAAACACCAUUUGCCUUUCUUUGCAAUGACUUCUGCCAUUCCAAUCUCUUUCUUCCAUUUUGCCUUGAGACUUCACUCCCACAAAAAAAGAUUCAAUAUUUAUCUAUCAAAACCAUAAUUCAAAUCAACAAUCAACCAAGUUUUGAAAAGAAAAUGUGAAUUGGACCAGUUAGGUAAUUAACUACGUGCAUUGUAAUUUUGCCAAAGAAGUACAAGUGUAGAAAGUUUCUUCAUCAUUUACGACGUCAUUGCUUUUACUUCUUCUGAAUGAGUAGUCCCAGUCGCCAAUUGUCGCCGCCGCCUCCAUGGUGGUGGUUGAUGGUGAGCAGGUUUUAUCACAAGAGGAGCAAAAAAGCGCGCAGUGUUUUCUUAAAAUUAAAACGAGGAGAGAAAUUAUAACCGUUUGGUCUGUGAAUUUUUCCUUGAUGACUAUUAUUCCGCAGGCCCAUUAGUUUCGUCAAAGAAACCCAAAAAUAGACGAAAGCCCACGAACAGUAGUAGCCUUUAAAAAAAAAUUAAAUAACCCUCAGGAUUGCUUCAUAUCAAUCAAAAUUUAGUUAUUUUUCGAAUGAUCUUUAUGAUACAUCCUUAUAUUAAUUUAAUUAAAAAAUAAAAUUUUCUUGAAUGUGAUUAAGUCCGAAUUGUUUUUCGGUUAUACAAAAAUAGUUUGUUUUUAUUUCAAGUUUGGAUAUCUUCAGUCAUGUUUAUUUCAUAAUUAAAUCAUCUUUCCCGAUAAAUCGCAGAUAAAUUAAUUUCUCUGAACUUUAAAUAUUUUAAUCACCAAAAGAUAACCAUAAUGUUGCAAAGAUUCCUUGACAAAGUGUAUGUCAAGAUAAAGUGUAACGUAAAUUGCUGGAAACAGAGCAUAUCUAUUGUGCUAUUGGUAUGAUCCUGAUUCUGCGACAGGAACUGCUAGAUUGUUUCAGCUUGCAUGUUAUAACUUCAGUGCCUGCCUGCUGCUUAUGUCAAGGUCAUUUCUCACUUACAAAUUAAAAUCUAAACGUUUUGAUUGUAUUAAGGUUCGUUUGUUCUGAAGUUAUCCUCUCAAAUCUCUUGAAUUUUGUUUUUCAGAGGAGGAAAUAUAUAUCUUAAACUUUGAUUCACCCCCUUCAGAUUGAUGGAAAAUGUCGAAAAAUUAGUUGCUUAAAUGUUGAUGAAAUAACUUUAAAUAUUAAUGAGUACUUUAAAUAUUAACUUUGAUCUACAUCUUAAACUUUGAUUCACCCCUUUCACAUGCCCUGAUGGACAGGAAAAAUUAUGAUCAUUAAUUAGGAACUUGAGUGUAUGCCUGCAGAAUUCAAGAAACAAUCCUAAUAUUGCAUGAUACUUCGUAAACAUACAGUAACCUUGUGAGCAUCUUAUUGAUUACAUUUAACUAGACAUAGUUUUUCUUUUCCCUGCCUUUUUCAGAGGAUUACAGUCUUAUUUAAUAUUCUCCAUACAAAUUGGAGAGUAUCCUCCACCACCAUUAUUCUACAGAGAAAACUUUUUGGCACUCUUUAGUUGAGAUUGAUGUCAUAUUUUGGCUGUUUAUUUGGAGAAAAGAGCCCCCAAUGUUUCUCAAGUUCAGGGUUUUUGUUACUCUCAUCAAACAUGGCAAAAAUAUAAGUUUCUAUAGGCUUUCCAGGCCUCUUUGGGGUUCCUUUCUUCACAUGUUGAACUAAGUUGUUGUUAUAAGUUCUUGCAUUAUCAACCGAUGUUCCUGUCCCUCCAGCCGUUGGCCAACCACUCUCUGAUACCACGAUUUCCAAAGAACCCCCUCCAGAUUUCUCCAAAGCAGCGUAAACAGUGUCAAGAAGGGCAUCGAAGAGGUUUUGGUAAUUCAGUGGUGGGUCAGAGACUAGUGGUGAUGGAGCUGUGAAAAGAGCAUAAUCAAGACGAAUGUCUCUUGUGUUAAGUGAGUAACUGAUGUAUGGAUACGAGUUAAGCAGUAAUGGAGCUUGGUUGUUCACUAAAAAGCGAAUGAUCGGAUCGAGAAGUGGUCUAUAGUCUCCCUUGAAAGAGCUUUUUGAGGGAGGGAAGGAACCAUCUGCUAUGACCCCAUUAUCAAUAGCGGUUGAAACUUUGAUACUUCCUAGUCCAGCUGAAUUGAGUGCGUUGCGAAUGUUUUGCAUGGCAGGGACUAGAAACUGUGCGAAUGAAUCUGAGGGCUUAACCUCAUUUCCUACCGCAAUGUAUCGAAACUUGACAUUGCCAAAAAUUUUUACAUUGCUUUGCACCCAUGCAUUUGCGUUGGCUUGACUGGAAGCAAUCCUUUGAAGAUCCGGAUUUGGAAGACCUAGCAUGAGCUCAAUGUUGGUGCCUCCAAGGGCUCGUAGAGCAUCUUGGUUUGGAUCAUAAAGUCGCAUUCUGCGAAUGCCCCUCUGGUUGUAGAGAGCUAUGACUUCUGAUGGUGGUGGUAAGUUACCAAGCAUUCCAUAGCAAACACCUAUCUGGGCACCUGUAUUGAAAUAUUGUGAUUAUUUAGUUAACCAUAGAUGUUGAGUUGACAGCUUUAGUAAAACUAUCAGAUAGCAUAAAAUGAACAUGAUUAUGAGUAUACCUGUUGUAUCUAGGCUAGCUAGUAGGAGCCCAAAGAGUAGCAUUAUGGAAAUCAUGGAAGGGCCUUUGCCAGCUAAAUUUGAUCUAGCCAUGCUUAAGGAAAUCACAAUAAACUAUGAAAGAGAGAUUGCAACUAUGUUUGCCAAACUCCCUUUCUUACCUUCCUCUUUAUAGAGAAAAUGUAUACACCUAGACUUGGUCUUGCUAAGAAUUUUCCCAUCCUUAAUGCCAAAUUCAUUAUAGUGUAGACUACUGUGGAACGUAUAUUUUCCACAAAUUGCCAAUGCUAUUGCUUGAACCAUUCAAUGCACAUCUAACAGCUCUUCAUCUGGGACCUUAUACAUAGCUUUGAAAAGUCUCAAGAGCUAUUAAUUAUCGUUUUGUGGCAGUCAGUUUCCUUUAAUAUAUAUCCAGGCAGACAAGUCGCAUCCUCUACGGCCUAAAUUUUUCACAACCACUACAAGUUGUUUCACAUAUCUGCAUCGUAUAAGAGCAUUUCUUAGGUAAUUAAUAAACGUUCAAGUUAAAAUUCACGUGUAAACUAGACAAUUUUCAUCCCUGCGCAGCACGGCAUUCUUUACUUAGUGUGAUUGUUUUAUGCUAGACAACACAGCACUAUAGAUGGUGUUAGGUUUGGAAUCAUUUGGAGCUUAUAAAAUCGAUACCGUUGUAAUCUAAGCCUUAAGACAGACGAAACAAAUUCUUGUAUAUUUUCUGCUGCUUGGCUCAUUUGAAGGUUUAUUCUUGCUGAGUUAUCAGCGACAGAAGCGUGUAAAAAUUCUGUGAUUCUAGCCGAAUUUUUACCCCAAAAAAAGGGUCUAGAAUUCAUAUUCUAGUUCCAAAUAGGAUAUUUAGUUUGUUCACAUCAAUUCGUGCUUCAUACCCCCUGUAUCAUAGCUGUCAUUUCCGAACCAAUUUUCCAUCCUUGUUUGACUACACCAGGAACAUGGUCACAUAGCAAGCCUCCAUGAAUUUUCAACAGCCCUCUCCUAGUGGGGUUAAUUAGUGCAUUUAUGGAUACCUAACUUAUAAUGGGCUUGACUGGAAACUUUUUGAACUUGGAUCGUUUUGUGGCGCAAAAUGAGGUGAUUCCUGUCCAUACAAGGGGCCGUUCCCUCUAAUAUCUUCCAAAUUUGCGGAUGUCAACUUCAGUGUGUGGAAAAAAGAAGAGGAAAAUGUCAUAAACCAACAAGAAUAUGGCAGUGCCGGUUUGUUUGAUUUGGAAAAAAAGUUUUUUUUUCUUUUAUUUUUUGCUUAUUUUUAGUCCUCCUACAAUCCUCUCUUGUACGUAUUGAGAACAUCUACCUCUCUACAGUACAAAAGAUUUAUCCCUCCUAAAAUCUUUAAGUGGUGAUGUCGUAGAUAUCACGGCGUUUUUUUCUUUAAAAAAAAAAAUAUUUAUCAUUUUAUUUUUAGAGAGAAUAAGUAUGAUUUAAAAAAACAUCAUCUAAUAUUAUGAUCAAUAAAAACUCUAACUGGUUAACCUAGAUUCUAUGACACUGGACUAAUUACACCAAAAAAAAAAAUAUCACAACUUAAACAUCCUACCUGAAAUAUGUUGCAUCAUUGGUUUUAUUUUAAAUUGCUAAGAAUUUAUUGUAUUAUAAUAUUGAUGGUUUGUAUAUAAUAUUCAUAACUUUAGUGUUAGUGAAUAAUAAGGUUCAGAAUAAUUUUCAAUUCUAGUGUGAAUAUUUUUAAAUCUACCAUUAGUGUAUAUUAAAAGUAUCUUUAACUUUAACAUUAGUAAAUAUGAAUGUUUCAGACUCUGGCAUUAUCAUGAACAUGUAAAUUUAAAUUUGAGUUGAAAUUUAUUUAUUUAUAUAUAUAUUAAUUUUUUUAAAAAAAAACUAUUUUAUUUGUUUUUAUUUUUCAAGACGGUGCCGUCUUAUAAGUACAUUGACCUUAAGCAUGGGUAAAUUUUUUUUUUUAUUUACAAAGAUAGGAUUGAGGGUUAUAUUAUUUUAAAAAUUUGGAUAUGUCAGGACGAUGAGUUUUUUAAUUUUAGUCAAGUUAUAAUGAGCUUAAUAAACUGGUUAAUAAGGUAUAACAAAUAUUUUUGAGGGUUUUUUUUUUUAAUUUUUUUUGUGAUAACACUAAUUUUUUUUUUUAAAUAUGCAAAAAGCAUUUUUUUUUUUAAUUUUAUGGAAACAAAAUGAUUCAAAGAGCUCAUGUUCCCUCCCAAUACAAAGAUAGAUCAUAUAAUCCCUGGUAGUUUAGAAUGGAGUUUUAAGUACUUUCGUCUAACCAAAGUGACAUCAAAUGCAGAGGAGCUCGGGGUUGGGGCGUCAGGUUGUUGACGCGUCGGUUAGAGAGAAGCUUCUGGUGUUUGCUGAAGUGUUGGUCACGGUGGGAACUCCUAGUGUUGUGGCAACAAAUGAUAUUGUGGUAGAGAAGGUUCAAAGACUGGCCAAGAAUGAGCUGCUUCUUCUUUUUUAUUUUUUACAAGGAUUUUAUUUUGGUUUUCCUCGUGAUUUUGUUUUUCUCCCUGCUAUGACAGUGGCCUUCCUUUUGCUUUUAUAGGGCCAAUCUGAAAUCUUUCCCACAAAAUCCGUCGCUUAUCUCCUAGGAUGGUGAUCUUGUGGAUGAAGAUAACUACAGCUCAAGUUUGUUCCACUUUUGAUGAGAAGAAAACACCAACAGUCCUGUAGUCUACGAUUUGGAUCGGAUUUAAUUUGAUUUGGUGGGAAGAUGGGGUCUAACCGAAGCCAUUUUGGUGGCUUCUUGGGCAGUUUUCCGUAGCUCCAGAGGAAGAAGAAAAUGAACAGUUACUGAAUAACGUAUCAUUCGGGUUCUUAGGUUAAAUUAGCUAUUUUUCAAUUUGCCUCCCUUGAAAUUUCGAAACCUUACAAUCAAGCCCAAGAUUGUCUUUAUCCUUUAGAAGUUUUUAAUUUCACCCUUGGAGUUAUGCAAUUGGACCCUUGGAUCUCUGCGCUACUGACAAUCAGUUCCCAACACUUCUGCCAUUCCAAUGUCUUUCUUCCAUUUUGCCUUGAGAUUUCACUCCCACAAAAAUAGAUUCAAUAUUUAUCUAUCAAAACCAUAAUUCAAAUCAACAAUCAAACAAGUUUUGAAAAGAAAAUGUGAAUUUGAUCGGUUGGUUAAUUAAAUACGUGAGUUGUAAUUUUGCCAAAGAAGUACAAGUGUAGAAAGUUUCUUCAUCAUUUACGUCAUCAGUUCUUUUACUUCUUCUGAUGAGAAGUCGCAGUCGCCUGCUGUCAUCGCCGCCUCCAUGGUGGUGGUUGUAGCGGUGGGUGAUGGUGAGCAGGUUUUAUUGCAAGAGGAACAAAAAGUGGCGCAGUGUUUUCUUAAAAUUAAAACGAGAGAAAUCAGAACCGCUUGGUCUGUGAUUUUUUCCUUAAUGAUUAUUAUUCCGCAGGCCCAUUAGUUUCGUCAAAGAAACCCAAAAAAAAAAAGAUGAAAGCCCCAUGAAUCAAUUAAAAUUUAGUUCUUUUUGGAAUGAUCUUCGUGAUACAUCCUUAUAUUAAUUUAAUUAUUUUAAAAAAUAAAUUUCUUGAAUGUGAUUAAGUCCGAAUUUUUUUGUGGAUAUAAAAAAAAAUAGUUUGUUUUUAUUUCAAGCUUGGAUAUCUUUAUUUCAUAAUUAAAUUAUCUUUCUCGUUAUAUCGCAGAUAAAUUAAUUUCUCUGAACAUGCUAUAUUUUAAUCACCAAAAGAUAACCAUAAUGUUGCAAAGAGUCUUUGACAAAGGGUAUCCAUUAAGAGGAAUAUUCUUGAUGUUCCAACCUUCUAUGCAUGUACGUAUGUCAACAUAAAGUGUAACGUAAAUUGCUGGGAAUUGAGCAUAUAUAUUGUGCUAUUGGUAUGAUCCUGAUCUGUGACAGGAAUUGCGCUAGAUUGUUUCAGCUUGCAUGUUAUAACUUCAGUGCCUCCUGCUGCUUAAGUCAGGGUCAUUUCUCACUUACAAAUUAAAAUCUAAACGUUUUGAUUGUAUUAAGGUUCAUUUGGUCUGAAGUUAUCCUUCAAAUCUCUUGAAUUUUGUUUUUCAGAGGAGAAAAUAUGUAUCUUAAACUUUGAUUCACCCCCUUCAGAUUGAUGGAAAUUGUCGAAAAAUUAGUUGCUUAAAUGUUGAUGAAAUAACUUUAAAUAUGAAUGAGUACUUUAAAUAUUAACUUUGAUCUAUAUCGUAAACUUUGAUUCACCCCUUCCACAUGCCCUGAUGGACAGGAAUAAUUAUGAUCAUUAAUUAGGACCUUGAGUGUAUGCCUGCAGAAUUCAAGAAACAAUCCUAAUAUUGCAUGAUACUUCGUAAACAUACAGUAACCUUGUGAGCAUCUUAUUGAUUACAUUUAACUAGACAUAGUUUUUCUUUUCCCUGCCUUUUUCAGUGGAUUACAGGCUUCUUAUUUAAUAUUCUCCAUACAAACUGGAGAGUAUCCUACACCACCAUUAUUCUACAGAGAAAACUUUUUGGCACUCUUCAGCGGAGAUUGAUGUUAUAUUUGGGCUGUUUAUUUGGAAGAAAGAGCCCCCAGUGUUUCUCAAGUUCAGGGUUUUUGUAAUUCUCAUCAAACAUGGAAAAAAUAUACGUUUCUAUGGGCUUUCCAGGCUUCUUUGGGCUUCCUCUCUUCACAUGUUGAACUAAGUUGUUGUUAUAAAUUCUUGCAUUAUCAACCGAUGUUCCUGUCCCUCCAGCCGUUGGCCAACCACUCUCUGAUACCACGAUAUCCAAAGAACCCCCUCCAGAUUUCUCCAAAGCAGCGUAAACAGUGUCAAGAAUGGCAUCGAAGAGGUUUUGGUAAUUCAGUGGUGGGUCAGAGACUAGUGAUGAUGGAGCUGUGAAAAGAGCAUAAUCAAGACGAAUGUCUUCUGAGUUACCGGUGUAACUUAAGUAUGGAUACAAGUUAACCAG